rnacentral:lncRNA from 1 species
GUAGCCUUCAUUUUUGAACUUUCUCCGCCCAUAGAGGUAUUGAACAAAUGUGUCGAUUAGAUAUGGACCGACAUAAGAUGCCAAUGUGUAAAAUAUAGCAUAUAACCCUGUCCAGCCAACCUCUUUCCAGGCCGAGAAUAUCAAUGCCUUCACCAGAUGAAAUGUGGUAACCCUGCCAUCCGCACCACACUCCGCCUCAAGUUUAUUUCUAAAAUUUGGAAAGGACCCAACUACACUAUCACCCUUGUAUAGUUCAGGAACAUCCUCAAGGUCUAAUGUCUUCUUAUUGCCAAGCGCAAUUAGAGGACCCAUCCAAGAAAGAGUAAGGAGGCUGAAAAUUCCAGCAUUUGAAUAAGGGGUAACAGGUGUACGCCCUUUGGAAUUAUUUGACUCUGCAUUACCAUUACCAUUACCAUUCAAAAGGGGUUCCUCAAGAACUGUAUUUCUGCCCUCUUUCUUCCCAAAAAACCCCACAUAUAUAAAGAACAAACCCGAGAUGACGCAGACAACAUCAAAAACUAAAGAUUGAACGGGCAAGGAAACGUGUUCCUUGUAAAGAAGGAUAUCUAUCACAAGGGAAUAGCAAGAGAUAGAAAAGUAGGAACCCCACCAAAGUCUCAAUAAAUUUGGGAACUUUGAUUCAGAAGAAUUAGAGAACUGGGUAUGCAAGUAGAUACAAAGAGCACCCCAGGCAAGUGUUCUAAUGGCUAAAUCAAAAAGGGUCACUAGCUUUUCCUCAGACCAAUCAUUUCUAUGCCAAUAGAAGUAGUUCAAUAAACAAAAAACAAGACUGAGCCCAGAAACACCAAGACAACAGAGUAAAGUUAGCUUAUAAUACCAACUUUGAACACUCCCAAACCUCUGUUUUGGACCUUCUCCAUCACCCACCUUGAAUUUCUUCCACACCCAAGAGACGAGCAACACAAAUAACAAAACUAGGUGUAAUGAGCCAGAAAACCCACGUAUGAAAACCGGUUUGAGAAGAAAAUCGGUACCUGGAUACGUAAUGAAUGAUGAUGAGUAGUGUGAGAAGAAGGCUGAGAGAGCACCGUGCUUUGAAGAAUCAAAAAGCUCCAUAAUUUGUGGAGCUUUUUGUUGGGGGCUCUCUGAAAUUCUGGAAAAUGGGGUUUUGGUUGGAAUGGUUUGUUAUAUAGAGGGGAGAGAGAGAGAGAGAGAGAGGGAGAGAGAGAGAGAGAGAAAUUAGUUUGUGGACGACUCAGGGAGUGUAGUCAGAGAAUGGAGAGUCAAAUGUCAAUGUGAAUUUUUCCUGGAAGGUAGGCUAACGUGGUGCCCAAGACUCACAUCACGGAGAUAGCUAUAGAUGGCUGCAAAGUGACGCAGAAAAUUGUUGGUUCCAGGAAAUAUGUGAACUGAUGAUAGAGAGCGAUAGACCAAUCCAUUAUAAUCUCUCUCUUGUAGAGCCCACCAAAUUGUAUUUUAUCAAUUUAAACCUUCUAUUUUUUAGAUAUUUAUUCAAAAAUUAGCUCUAUUUAAAUAAAAUCAUUCUAUAUAUUUCUGUGUUUGAGGAAAAUUAUCAUAUAAAAUUGUUAUGUAUAGUUGACUUUGACUAAAGAGAUUCUAUAUGUGAUAUUUUUAUCUGUGGUGGGGAAAUGAGAGAACUUGAACCCAGCUUUGACACACAUAACAACAACAACAAAAAAACAAAAAAAAUAUAAAAAGAAACUGGAAAAAGUAUAUGGUAGAGAGGAAAGUUAGUGUAUGGUAGAGAGGAAAGUAAGCAAAUCCCGAUCACACAAGCCAGCCCUACAACCAGCUAAUGUCUGAGUUUACAACCAAUCUCUAUUAAAGAGCAAGACCCACCAUGAUGUGAUGUGGUGAAUGUGGUUUUGUGUGCACAGCAAGAUAAUUGAUAAUUUUGGAUCUUCUUGUGUUAAAUCAUAUGCUGGACUUACUAAGGUAAAAUAAGAAAAUAAGGGCAUAUCUGGUAAUGUUUUUAUAGAAUAUUUUUAGAGAAUGCUUUCAGAGAAUGAAAACGAGAAAACGAAUUUGCAUUUUCAGAAUUCAAGAAUGCAUCUGGUAGAUUAAUUAGAAAACAUAUUCAGAAUAUAAAAACAAUGAGAACAUGUCUGAUAGUACAAUUUGAGAAUAAUAAUAUGUGAGCUAUUUUUCAAGUGUAUUUUUGAUAAUGUAUGUUCUAAACAAAAUAAUUAAAAAUUAAUAAAAUUCUAAUGUUAGAAAAACCUAGAAUUAUCUUUAAUAAUAAGUGAAAAUGAUAAAUAAAAAAGUUGAAUUUUGUUGGUUAAUUGAUAAACUGAACAAGUAUGCAUCUAAGAAUAGUUUUUUAUACACACAAAUUUUUUUUUUCCCCAAAAUAAAUACAGAUUAUUGAGUAAAGAACUUCUUGUAGUAGGAUAUGAGAAUAAAAUAAACAAUGAAGUGUCAUUUCUUUUCAACUUUUGUUUUUUCAUUAAUAUUUUUUAAUGUUUAUUGUAACAAAAAAAACUAAAAUGAUCUGAAACUAAUGUUUAAUUAAAACAAGAUUAUAAAAUAAAAUAAAAAUGUUAGCACACUUUUUCUUCCUCCUUCUUCUCGACUUUUCUUCUCCCAAUUCACAAACUCCCCACUGCCCACCUCCCCUCUUUUUUCACUUUCACUUUCACUCUCUCAUCUCUUUUCAUACAUCCUCUCCUCCCAUGUGUGCUGGUGUCGCUUGGGUUUAUAUAAUACAUGUGAAAACAGCAACAAAAUCACACUGAAACACAUAAUUCAAAUCAAUAACUAUCACCCUCGAUUUGUUCAAUUGGGUUGGCGGUGGCUAUUACGGUUCGAGUGAUUGGGUGGUGAUGGUGGAGGGAGGCUAUGGCUUUGAGGAGUUUGAUUCAAGCCAAGGAUCUGAUUGUGGUGAAGGCUGUGGCCUUGGAGUCAGAGUGGGUCUCACAAAAGAAGGCAAAGAGAGAAAGGAAGAGACAGAGGGGUGUUUAAUUUUUGGGUAUGGGAUUUGAGAAAGGUGAGAAUGGAAUAGAGCAUGAUGAUGUCUUGUUCCAGCUUUAUUAUAGCAUCCACAGUGGGGGUGUAAAUUCGGGGGUGUAAAGCCACUUUUAUAUCCUAUUUACACCCCCGGGGUUGUAAAUACGUUUUUGGCUCCAAUGAAAAAAGAUAUAAAUCUAAGAUGUAUAAUUGUUUUGUUUGUCAUAAUUUGUUUUUGUGUUAAAUUUGUAUUUUGUGUUUACUUUAUAAAAUUAAAUUUUUUUGUAUUAGGUUAAUUUUAAUUUUUCAAACAAAUAGAUUUAAAAAUAUUUAAAUUCGAAAAAGAUAUGAUUUCAUCCAAAAACAUUGGGGAGCAUGAAAAUCACAAAUGAGCAAACAACAUCUGAUUUUUUUUUCAGCAAUUACUGUAGCCGCGGGUCCCAGCCUUUUAUGUUGACUUUUCUUCAUUUUUCUUCUCUUUUCUCGGGUGGAUCCCGCCUACAAAAGAUGUAAAAAUAGAUGUAAAUGUACAUUUUAUUUUACAUCUCUAUGGUGGUGAUGUAUAUUUACAACCCUUUACAUCUCUCCAUUAAAGACGAUUCCGGUGACAAGGGGUGUAUAUUUAACAUACACUCCCAUAUACACCCUCCUAUUGUGGAUGCUUUUAUGUAAAAUUGUUUGGGCAUGGCAAGAAUGUAAUCACAAAACAGUCAUUUUAUAUGCAACGCCAAAGUGACUUGGGGAGUUCAGGUUUAAGCAUGGCAGGAAUGGAUAGCCAUGGUCGGGACUCGGGACUGUAAUUAAAGGGAGGUGGGUGGCAUGUGAUCAAAAUUAACAAAAAAUUAGAAGGGCUUAAUUCUUAUUAUCCUUAUGUUCUGCUCUUACUUAAUUCUUAUUAAAAUGUAAUGGUAAGUUUUUUGUUUUUCAUUUCUUAAAUGUUGAAUGAGAUAUUGAUCAAAUAAGAAAAUUGAUAAACAAGAUAUUGUCAAUGGGAGCUGUUAGUGGCAAUCAAAAAUGUCAUAUUGCACUCAUCGUUUGUAAUUAUAUAAGGGAAAAUUACAUGAUGAUUUUUUUAAGUGCCAAAAAUAGUUCCUUUUAAUUAUAAUAUGAAAGCUAGAAAGUUGAUAUAGAUACAAAUUCUCAUUGAGGAGUUGGGGUUAAUCUUUAGAUUUGAUGACUUAGAUCUAAAUUAUUUAACUUUCCUGCCACAUAGGAUUACAUUCCUUUUUAAAAUAGGGUAAAGUACCGAAUACUCCUUUGAACUAUCAUCCUUGUUGAAAUCUACAUCCAGGAUUAAUUUUUCAGCCAAUUUAGGCAUUGUACUAAAUUUUAUCGCCAAUUUACCACUCACUGUUAAUUUUUGACAAUUUCUGUUCAAAUCUCUGUUAAAAAAGUCACAUGUCAGGCACAUGAUUUAUUGUUGAAUUAAAAAUUAAUUUUUUUAACCUCUUUCUUAUACUCUCUCUCUCUCAGCUAGUCUCGAACCCGGAUGGGUUUUUGGCUUUGAACACAAUCCCAAGCUACUGGAGACCAGCAAAUAUUUUUUUUCUUCCCUGCUUCGCCAAAGAGCUCGAAUGAGAGAAAUCAAUCGAAGAGAGAAGAGGUUAAAAUCAAUCGCCGGAAAAUCCAAAUUGGGGGCUGGGUAAUAUGGGUUUCGAUUGUGUUGGUUUUGGGCACAGAUAUAUUUAAGUAGGCUGCGGAGUAGAGGAAUGAAAAAUUGAAUUUACUUCCUGCAAAAUUUUAUUAAGAUGCUGGAUACAAAUUAAACCUUACUUUAAAGAAAAAAUUUCUAGGGUAGAGGAUUGCCAAAAGCAAGCUAAAUAUCCGAGUAAGGCAGCAUCAGGUGGCUAACAAUAAUUACAUCCUCAUCCCGUUUCAACAUACCAGAUCAGAGAGCCUUGAUAUCUACCUUCCCUUGACACACACUUGACAAUUGAGGUACUUCGCCAAGAUAUCUGUUCACACAUAUCUCCAACAACUGCUUCUCCGCAGGUUUCAGCAGAGAACCCAGACUCAAAUUCUCAUUUAUGAGACCUUUCAACAGCAGAACUUUAACAACAGAGCACCUUGGAAUAAGUCAAAUUGAACCAAAUUGGGGGCGGGGGUUUUGGAAGAGAUUUUUUGGCGAUUGUCUUGGCUAUUGUUGGGGUAGGGUGAGCUGAGGCAUAGGAGGAAGAAACAGGGAGAGAGAAGAAGAGACGAGGAGAUAGAGAGAGGGUUCGCAAGGGAGCCAGGUAAUUUCGGUUGCAGGGAAUCACGUGGCUAACAUGUCAAAUCUAGACGGAAAAUUGGAUGAAAUUGCAUGAAAACUGACGGUAGGGGUUAAAUUGGCCAUUUAAAAUAAUAUGAAGGAUAAAAUGGCUGAAAAAAUAAUUCAUGGUGGAGAUUUGGAUAAUUAAUAUAGUUCGGGGGUAUUCGGCAGUUUACCCUUUUAAAUAUAUUAUGAUGUAAUCUUUUUAUUUUUUUAUUUUAAAAUUAUUUUUGUUCCAAUGAUGCCUUUAUUCGGGUAAUAGUGUUUUAUGUCAUAAUAAUUAGCCAUUUACAAUAUUUGGCAUUGACUACAAAAGGCAGAUACAGCAGACGGGAGAAGCUAUUUAUAUUUUUUGGCAUUGAUAUAAUUGACUGUGUGGGGGUCUUUUUCUUCCGGCAGCUGCAAAUGGGCUGGGCUGCCGUAAAGGGGAAAUUACUGAAAUUGCCCCCUGUGCUUGAGUUCGAAAAUUAAGCCCCAAAAGCACUUCGAAAGGGCAGUAAAGCCUUAGGAAGUGUUCUGGUUACCUUCACCAACGAAAAUGAUGGCUGCUUACAGGUGAUUUAUGCUUGCUUACAGAUAAAGUUUUAGCUUAGCAUGAGGAGAUUGUGGCAUGGGAGCAAGGUCAGCAUGAGUUGAGCACCAAAGAGGAAAAUAAGGCUUCCUAGGGAGAAAUGGGAGUGUUUAAGAUGAGGGAGACAAGGUUUGCAGGAUGAUCUUGGCUAAAAAGGGGUAAAGGAAGGGCAUUACUUCUUCCGGCAGCUUGACAGACUCUGAAAAUAGUCUGUUAACAGAGAAGAACGAAGAAGAAGAGUGAAUAGGGCUACUGGAUUUUUACAAGUAAGAGAGGAAGCUUGCUCUCUCAGCCUGGGUUGGUUUUUGCUAGGUGGAGGGGACCUCCUUUUAUAGCUGCGGGAAACUAUCCUUUCCCAAGAAACCCUAAUGGUUUCUUCCCAAUCUUGGCAAGUCUUUCCAUCCUUUUUCCUCUCUUCUCUUGACUUUCCUAUCUGGGUGAGAUUUCCCCUUAUCUAUUUGCACAAAAUCAGGAGUUUUGGAGCUCAAGACCCCUUUUCCCGCGGCUGCUUCAGUAGGAAGCUCCACUCUUGGCUACUUUUCUUCUUCUUUCCCUUCUCCUUCCUGGGCCAGCACCGAUAAGGGAAAACAACUGGGUGUAUAUGCUGGUUUGAAAGGGUACUCCUCUUCCUGACAACUUACAUGCUAAUAUCCCUUGGUCUCUCUAGUGUUUUGUUUUGGGACUUGAUCCAUUCCCAUGUGCUGGCACUUUCCAGCAGCUCUGUUCAGUGAACCUGCAGACCUCCUCUACGUGGCUUCUACUUUUCUAGCAAAGGGCUGAGGCUUUUGUGGCUUGUUGUGGAAUUUUGUAUGGGCUAAGGUACUUCAUUAAAUAAGUGGGCUAUUUAAACAUUGGGCUUUUGGUUGGGCUAUCCUUUGACUGGGCUAAUUUUGGUUGGGUUAUUUUGAUUGAGUUAUUUUCCCCUCUUUGCUCACCCAUAUAUUUGGGCCUAAGAAAUGGGCUUGGGUUCCGAGGCUCCCAAGCAACUCGGAACCUCCAUUUCUCGUCCCAUCAAUGGGCCUCAUGACCACCUAUUACCAUCCAUACCACAACCCACUCAAGCAAGCCCCAGGCAUCUUGCGUGGCUUGGGCCCACUUAAGCUUGUAGCAUGGCAUGUUGUUUAUUUGCUUGGCGUGGCAUGUGUAUAAGCGCAUAUGGCAAACUUUCGCGUGCCCCAAAUUGGGUUUCUUCUCGGUAAGAUAUCGCAUUGGGCUGAGAAUUUAUUUGGGCCGAAGCGUGGAUUUUUUGGGCCUCAACAGACUGCUUGAUUCUUUUUUAGUUUUUCCAUUAGGGAGUGUAUUCAAUUGAGAUUUUAAAAGACUAUUUUGAGAUAAAAAAGUCUUUUGGUAUUCAAGUUAGACUUUUAAAUAAUCUAAACAAGUUUUGUAGUAUUUCAUUAAGACUAUUAGGAUUUUUAAAAGAGAGUGUCGAAAUCACGUGGCAUUCAAUUAAGACUUUAAACAAGUAACAAAAAUUCUUAUGGUAUUCAAAAACUUGCUAAUUUCGAAAGAUUUUUUAAAAUAUGGAAUUAUGUGGGACUUUUUAGUGGGAGUUAUAAAUACUAAACCUUAUCUCAAAUCUCACCCUAACCUAUGAGAUUUUUCACAUGAAAAUUUUUUUUUUCUCGGGAAAAGAUGAACUUACAUGCACAAAAGGCUUCUCUCUGUGCAUCUCUCGUAUGCGGGUUUAGUUCAAUCGUGCGAAGAGAAGUUGCUCGUGGUACCAAAGCCUCACACCCAGUUGCUGAAUUUCAAUUUUCUCACUCUAUCUCUAAUGGCGGAGCAAAUAGCUCUCCCUCUACUCCUUCACAACCCAGCCCAAAUUUUUGUUAAAAAAAAUUACCUACACUACAUAUGUUCAGCCCACUUAAAUUAUACAAACCUAUCAAACACACCAUCCCAUCCUCCCGUGCAAUUCUUCUCCUCCUUUGCAAAACAGACAUAAGUUCUCUGUAGCCAGCCAACAACUCCUCUCUGCAGCCACUGCCAACAACUCCGCUCAACUUCUCUGCAGCCAGCAACUUCUCUUCUUGGCAACAACAAGUAUUCUUCUCAUUCUCUCCUUUUUAAUUAUCUUAUGCAUCUUUAAUUUGAAUAGAAAAUAUUCUAGGGUUUAAUUAGGAAUGACUUAUAAUUUGGAGAUUUGUUGAAAUUAAUUAGGGUUUUGAUUUUAGAAAUUUUGUUGAGAUGUUCAAUGUGUUGUUGGUAUUGUUGAUAUUUGAUUUGUGUGUUGGUAUGUUUGAUUAAAUGCAUUAAUUUGUUGUUGGUAUUGUUGAGGUGUUUGAUUUGUGUGUUGGUAUUUUUGUUGAAAUGUUUGAUUAAAAUCAUUUCUACAUAUUAUUUAUUUUAUAGGUUAUCUCUUAUUGUGUCUGCUCACAAUCGGAACCCCAAGAAAAUAAUGACUUUGUUGUCUUUUUUUAAGAAAAAGAAUGAUGACAUCAUCUAAUACAAAUAUCAAUUAUCUUGAACAUGAUCCAGAAGUACGUCAUCUAAUAUGCAAAUAUUCGGUGAAGGAACAAGAUAAUGUGCAAAGAGCAUAUAUUCUUUUAGGGUCAUGUCAACCCGAAUUAGAAGAUUAUUCAAGCCACUUAGAAGGGAAAAUCUUACGUUGAUUUAAUAAAAAGUGGUUUGGCCAAUUCUCUUGGCUUGAGUAUUCAGUUGCUACGAACAAGGCAUUUUGUUUUUCUUGUUUCCUAUUUGAUAGAAAUCAAUAAUUUUCGGCCUUGUUUUCCUUGGUUCCUAUCUACAGCAAUAACGGAAUGAGUUUUCUUAUGUAUGAGAAUUAUUGAAUCAACUUAGAAGCACCAAAGGUGAUGAAUUUCUUGCUGAUUGUAUGAUCCUCCACAUUGAAAGAGAGUUUGCCAAUACUAUCGACAAUGCAUCAAUAAUUGAGGAAUUUAAGAGUUCUAAGCCUCGUAGGGUUAAAUUUUAUAUUUAAAUAAUGUUGUUUUGUAUUGCAUUACAUUGCAUUUACUUUUGGUUUUUAUUUUAGUUUUUGUAUUUGUAGAUAUAUAUGAAUUUGAGGGUAAGGCUCAUUACGCUCCCCCUCACUAUAUGUAUCUUUUUAUGUUUAUUAAUAAAAUUCACUCGUACCAUCGAGUUUAGUACAUAAAUUUUGCCCGGUCAGCUUUUGAAUCCUAUGACCGCCACUGCACCACCCUCUUCAAGACCCUUCUUCCAAAACCAAAACCCAGCCACACCAACACCACCUCCACUUCCUCCACCACCAUCGCCGCAGAUAACCCCUCUUCUCUAAGAGCUCCUCCUCCACCCAAACCCCUCAACCCAAAACCGAACCUCCCCUCCCACCCUCGCCAGAGCACGCACUCGCAUCGGCAAGUCACGUGAUGGUAGAACCUUAUAUCUGAAAAAGAAAAGUUGCAAAAAAAUAGAGAAAAGAGAAAAGGAAAUUCAUUUUAUUUCAUUUCAUUAAUUCCUCUUAAGCAAAAGAGAGAGCGUUUAUACAAUUCCUGAUUUUGGCCAGCUGGCUAUGAUCUAGCAAAGUUUCUAACAAAACUUCCUACAAAUAGGGAAAGGACAAAGUUGUUAUUAUGUGUGGGAAUAGCUAGGUGAUGAUACUAAGGGAAUACAAAGGUGAUAGUAAGUGGGCUGCUGUUCACCUGUUUCGUGGUUGUUCCUGUAAUGCUAGGGUGAAGUUCCCCAUUGCCUUGAAAACCAUUGCCUGGUCAACAAGUCAACUUUUUUUAGUGUGCGAGCGUGCCACUGCUAGUAACGAAAAAUCCUAGCAGACUUCGAAAACAGAUAACUUGCGCCCCAAGUUAUUGAUUUCUAAACAAGCGAAUGCGAAUUUGGGUGAGGAAUAUCUCCCAAGUAAGUUCUUUUCUUGCCUCAGACUGGUGAGGACUUCACAAUUUUCACAGUGCAAUAUUGGUAGUUCUGGCUAGAAUAAAUAGUAAGAAAAUGGGUUGUUUUCAGGCAGAACUGACUUUUACAAAACUCGUAAUGGAAAAACCAACUCUAGAAAGACAAAAAGAAGGCUGGACUUCCAUUUCUACCUGGAUAGAUGCUUCUGAUCCGGGCUGGACUGGAUAUGCUUGUACUGGACUGGGCUGUCAGCAAGUUCAACUGUUAAGUUUCAGCUGUAAAUUGAUACCAACGUUCGAGUUUGGCAGAGCUUUAAUCUAUUUCAAGCCAUGGAAGGCUCUUUGAACGGACAGAAUUGCGGCCUCCUCAGUUUGAAAGGGGCAGAAGUGGCUAGAUUCAAGGAUUACUGAGCUGAUACUGCACUGUGAUGCCUGUUUUGCUUGAUCAGGGCUCUUCAUAAAUUUGUUGAGGUUUUCAUAUUUGUAAAAACCUAGGCUCUACUUGUCUUAGCUUUUGCUGAACCAAAUUUGCAACGAGAGAAAUCUCAUUUUAAAUGACUUUUCUCUAAGUCUGAAACUGAAUUGUAGCUGUCUUCUUUCUUGUGGCUCAGUGAGCUUUUGGUUGCUUCAGUUUGCUUGAAGUUCUUUUUGAGAUCAAGUGAUCAUUUUGAGUUUUUGUCAUUUGGCUGAUUUUUGGUUGUUUGAUUCAUUGUUCUUGAUCUGUUCACCUCCUCUCAUAUUUAUAGCAAAUGCUGGAGUGAGUAUUUUAAUCUUUUAAAAUGGGCGGCAGUUUUUCUAAAAAACAAGAUCUUUAUUUUUUUUUAGAAAAAAGGGAAGUUAUCUUUAUCAAAAAUAGACUAUCAAUGGUAAGUUUUAAGUCAAUCACUUCCCUACUUUUCUUUAAAAGACAAUCUAAUCUCUCUGCUCUUGUGAGAUUUCAAUCUACCAUGAUGGUUAGUUUGAUUUUCCAGAUGAGCAACUCCCUGCACCCUACUUAUCUGUUUAGAAAAUAUAGCCUGCUUAUCUCUUGGAAAUGGUACCUGCUUUAGAGCAUAAUUUUUCUGAAUAUAAAAAAGGUAUUGUGAUUUUCUUUUGCCUGAAAAAAGCUGGAGACUUUUGCCUGUUUUAAGACCUGCUUUUAUUAACUCCUUAUUAACCCAGUUGAAAUUGCUGACUUUUCAAAGUCAGGAAUUCUCGUGGGUUUGCCUCCAAUUUUGGGCCUUUCUUCUCUUUUAAUCAUACUCAGGCCCAGGUUGAGUUUUGAAACUGUGGGCUGAUUUUCCUUUUUUGAAGCCCAAAUAACAGUUUUUGGGCUGGGCCUUCUUGGAUUUGGGCUUUUGAAUUCAAAUGCAAAGCCUAAUCUGCUUGGGGCCUGAAAUUGCUUCGUUAUUCUGGGCUUCCAGUGUUGGGCUGAGUGUGUAAUUUUGACAUGGGCUUUUAAUAUUUGGACUGGGUGUGCCAAAUUUAGGCCCAAACAGCUGCAAAGAGUAUUAGGCCCAAAUGGGAUUAGGUCCUAACACGUGACUCCGGCCAUGGCAAGCCUUGGUCCCACCACCACCUCUCCUCUCAAGGUCAGCAUAUCCUUCAUUCCUUUCUUGACCCACAAUUUGAUUCUUCUAAACUAGAUGAGCAGCUUUUGGGUUUCGUUGAAUUGCAUAGAGAUGAAUUUGGUUCUAGGUUGGACUCUCUAUCUCUGGACGCCCUGGGUAUUGUUAGAGCAUCUCCAAUCGAUAUGUCAAAAGUGCCACAUAGACAUUUAACGGCUAUAAAUAACAUCUCACAUCACUCCAACUGAAUUGUCAAAGCUGAUGUGGAAUGAAGGUUGGAGGUUCAGCUGUUAUUUUUGACAUUCCAAAAACAAAAUGUCAAAUGAAUAUUUUAUUAUUUUUAAAGACAACUGGCUGUUACUUUCAUUUAUAAUUUUACUUUUUUAUUUUUUUCUUCUUUAUCUUUAAUGAUUUGAUUGUUACAAUAAUUAUUUAUUUGACAUAUCGGGUGGAGUGUAAGACUGUUUAAAUAUCAAAUUGCCACAUCAGCUAUCAAAUUUAAAUUUGAUGUUUGGUAUUUGACAUCUCCCCAGGAGAUGCUCUUAAAGGUUUAGUAUUCUAACAAAAGUGGGCAGGGUUUCUUCUGCAACUUCUUUGUUUCAGAGUUUGCAUAAGGAUGGGUUUUCUCCAAGCGUUGUGUCUUAUGCAAGAGAUGGUUUAUUGGAAGAGGCAAUAAACAUUUCCAUUUCUGAUUCUUAUAACUUGUUAUCGCUGCGGGCAUUGAGUAAGAUGGGUUGAUGUUGUGAGAGCUAAGUUAAUAUCAUGCCCUCGAUCAUUUUCUUGCAAGUAUGAAUAGAUGUGAUUGCUCUUUGCAUAAUUGCAUGCAAUAUGCAAUAUGGGUUGAUGUUGUGAUUGCUCUUUGAAUAGGUGAGGAAAUGAAAGGGACAGGGAAGGACUUUUGAGUAGGCAAUCAAUCAUUAUAUAUUAACCUACAGGGAAUGUACUUAACCAUACAAUAUUUGCAGCAGAAUAUAGCAUAAACUAAAAUACACUGCAAGCUUUAACUUCUAUCACUUUGCACCUCACCGCUUAUGUUUCGUCAUUAUCAAAACAGCUAACCAGUUGAGUAGUUCAUAAAGAAGAUUUGGAAUUUCAUGGUCAGUCAAACUACUCAAAACUGGAAUUCGACCUCACAGUGUACUCUGCCACAAGCUGAGCAAACGAUGACGACUUGUUCUCUAGCAAUGUCGCAGGAGAAUCAUAUUCCUCAAUGAGCCCUACAACAAGAACAAAGAUACAUUAAAAAAUGAAUAAGAAUUUGAGCUUCAGUGGUAACUAGAGGAAGUUGAAUGCAUUCAUUUGGCAACACUAACCAUGACUCAGAAGCAGAACCAUGUCACUAUCAAGAACAGAAGUUAUACGAUGUGCAAUGGUGAUGACUGUACAGUCAGUAAAGUGUUGGCGAAGGGUCUGCUGGAUGAGAUUAUCUGUAGCUGUAUCGACCGACGCGGUAGCUUCGUCAAGCACCAAGACCUUACUUUUCUUGAGCAGCACACGGCCAAGGCAGACCAACUGCCUCUGACCCAUACUCCAGUUCUCUCCAUUCUCACUAACUGCAGCAACCAUAUGAAACAUAAACAAAAGAAUUUCCAUGACGUAAAAUGAAAUCUAGUGCAUCAUAUAUAGCCUGUAUCUUAGAGUAGCCAUAGAACAAACCUGUGGCAUCCAGCUUUCCUUCCUUUCUCCUAACUUCAUCUCCAAGUUGACACUUAUCCAGGGCCUGAAAAAAUCAAAAGAUGUUUUAACUAGUCCCAUGAAUUUAGCACUGCAAAUCUAUAAAUGAAGAACAUUUAGUAGGAAGAAGAUUCCUUUCAUCAGUGUAAAACCAACCAACCUCCCAAAUUUGCUCAUCUGUGUACUCUUCAAGUGGGUCCAGAUUGCUUCUUACAGUCCCUUCAAACAUGGUUGGGUCCUGAGGGAUAAUGCUCAGCCUAGACCUUAGAUCAUGCAGUCCAAUUGAAGAUAUAUCAAUACCAUCUAUCAAAAUCUGGCCAGAAGCAGGAUCCACAAUUCGGAAAAGGGUCUGUAUGACAGUCGUUUUGCCACUGCCAGUUCUACCCACAAUCCCAGUUUUCAUUCCUCCAGGAAAGCUACAUGUGAUACCUCGCAACACAAGUGGCAUGUGUGGGGCAUACCGGACCUAUAUAAACAUGAAAUUCGAGUCACACAUGAAUGACCCCAUACGUUAUGAAAGAAAUAAACCAGAACAGCAAGUACCUGAAGAUCAUGUAUGUCAACUUUUCCACGUAAUGGCCAAGAACGAUCUGGCUGAUUGGAUUCUAUUACAAGAGGAGGCUCACUGGGAAUGGUAGUGUACUGUAGUAAUCUCUCCACUGAUAUAAUUCUGUUCUCCACAUUGCAAAGAUUCCAUGUAAACCACGACUGUAACGUGUUUAGAUUAAGUCCAUAUGUGACAGCUAAGCCCGCAACACCUUCAGAGUAAAAUACCAAAAACAAAUAAGAAAAGAGAGAACUCAUAGAUUUGCUUUACCAUUUGCUUUCAAAAGAAUAAUUAGUAACACGCUAAAUGAAUGCCACUUGCCUGGAUCAAUCACCCCUUCUGGAAUAGAGAUCAAGAAAACCAAACAGAAUCCAAAAGUUAUAGAUGACAACAUAUCCAAGCGAAAACAUAGCCACUCCAUUGCAGCCGCAGUAUGAAACUUAGGCCGACCAUAACCAUCCAUCAGUUUCAUGUUUGUAUCCCUAAAUCUUGAUUCUUGAUCGAAGCUCCUAAUAGUUGUCGACCCUGAAAUUGUUUCAGCAAAGUGUUGUAUCACUGGAGCUUUGCAUACUCCAACCAACCGUGCCAGUUCUCGUGCUGAAGGUAUGUAGUAUUGCUGCAUGAAUAUAAAAAUUUUGAGCAUCUUUCUUCACAUUUAACAUAGUUCAUAUAGAUUGCUGGCUGUAAUAGGAGUUAGGUUUGUUAUAUGGAUUCAUAUUGUCAAUCAUGUUCCAUGUUGUGCCAAUUUAGAAGUUUCUAAGAACUGUAGCAGAAAAAGGUGGAAGAAAAUGUUAAUAUAUCAACUUAGUGAACUUUUGUGUCAAUAAGGAAGCCAAGUUCCUCAGUUCCACAUCAAAUAGAAGGUAGAGCAUGUAUAGGAAUGAAUAACGAGCAUCAACAGUGCAUGAUCAACAAAGAAUUAACACUAAAGGGACAUUAACAUUUCCAUGUUAGAUUUCAUGUGGAAAUUCAUGUAUUGAUACAACAUAUAAGAGAGAAGCAGUAGGACAAAGAAGCGUUACCUGUAACCAGAUACAGAUUGCAAUCACAGGGAUAAAAAUGAUGAAAACCUGCCGUGCAACUUGCGAGAUCACUGCAAUAAUUCCCAGAAGAUGGAUCGAUGAGUUGGCAAGGGCCCCAAUUUGACCCGGCAUGUUCAAGUCCACUACAUUUUGGUCUGUAGAAGCCUGCAAGAAAUCAAUUAGCUACAUUGAUGAGAUUACUGCAUUCAGUACAGCAGCAGAGGGAGUGGUAGCUGUUUAAAGCAUCUAAUUCUCUUUGAAUAUCCCAAUAAGGCACUAUAUUAGAAAUAUAUUUUGCUUACUCUGUUUAGGAUUCGUCCACUUGGAGUGGCAUCAAAGAAAGACAUGGGAGCACGGAAAACGCAUGAAUGCAUUUUACUAAAGAGUAGAGUGGCUGUCUUGUACCCAGCUGUUGCAAGAAACAUGGAUCUGAAGAGGAUACAAAAAGAACUUCCAACGGCCAAAGCAACAUAAACAGUUAGAAGUGUAGAGGUUUGAACAGCAGGUUUCACAUCCUCUGAAACAGGAGUUGCCCAAGCCAUCCAGUAAUUGCUUCCAAUUUGAAGGACCUGAAAGAGAACCUGUGCAAGCAAGAUAAACGGAACAAGAGCACCUCCGUAUGCUGUGGUGAUGUACUUCCAGUAGACUGACAACCCAACUCUACCUUUCUCUCUCUCUUCUUCUUGAACAAGCUGCCCUUUUGGUAAAUCAUCUGUUUUAGAAUUUUGAACAUCAGUGUCUUCUACGUUUUGGACAACCCCACUAGUACUAGCAAAUUCUCCAUCUUCUUUGCUAACGCUUAUUUUUUCAACUGGCUCCACCUCUGCAGAAUUAAGCACGGACAAAGCUUCCGCGUGUGCUCCCACAAGUUCCAUAAAAUCAGUUCCUGAAUUAAGAAUGUCAUUGAACUUUCCUGCUUGAGUAAUCCUUCCGUCUUUCAUGACCUAAUGACAAACAAAUAAGUUUAAGCAGACAGAUACUAACUAGAUAAUAACAUGUCUUCUGGAUUUUUUACCAAGAUGAGGUCAGCAGCAGGUAAGAACUCCAUUUGAUGAGUAACAAAGAUUACUGUUUUUGAACCCAAGAGACCCAGCAAGCAUUCCUGUAGUGCAAUUAUCAAGCAAACAAAUUAAUAAUGAGCUGUCAAUUUUACGGAUGCCAGUAAUUCUAUGAUGUAAAUAAGUUUGGAUACUCAAUUUAAACUAGAUGUAAUCACACUACAAGAGGGAAAUGAAAUACCUUAAAAAGGUGUGAUCCUGUAUGAGCAUCAACAGCGCUAAAAGGAUCAUCAAACAGAUAAAUAUCAGCGUCUUGAUACAGAGCACGUGCAAUUUGUAUUCUUUGCUUCUGUCCACCACUUAAAUUGAUUCCCCUCUCCCCUAUAAUUGUCUGAUCACCAAACGAUAGAAUUUCCAGGUCCUUCUUUAAUGAACAUGCUUCAAGCACCCUCUCAUAUCUUUCUCUGUCCAUCUCUUGACCAAACAAUAUGUUUUCCUCUAUCUUGCCACUCUGUAUCCACGGUGACUGAGAAACAUAGGCCUUUGUCCCACACAUUUUAAGAGUCCCCGAUAUCUUCGGAACUUCUCCCAGAAUACAAGAAAGUAAGCUAGACUUGCCUGAGCCAACAGUACCACAAACAGCAACCCUCAUACCUUGGCUCACUUUGAAAUUUAGAUCCUUCAAUGUUGGACUAGGGGAUGAUAAAUCCCAAGAGAAAUUCCCAUCGACUAUCUCAAUUGCUGUAUCAGAACUACCUCUUGGAAGGUUCUCUAUAACGUCAGGAGGCAAGUCAUCAAGACUAAGGAAUGAUGCAAUUCUAUCAAGGGAUACCUUAGUUUGUGCUAUCAUUGAAAUUAAGUCUGGAAGACCGUAGAUAGGCUCUUGAAGAAUCCUGAAUGUUGCAAGUGCAGAUAAGAUCUUCCCCGACUCAAGUGGGAUCCCCAAAAGCAUGCAAGCAACGAACGUGACCACUGACACAAAUGUGGGGGCACCCCAGAAAACAAAUGAGGUCAUGGCAGACGUGUAAACAAACUUUCGUAACCAUCCCGCCUCAGUCUUCCUGAGAUCAUUAAUUUUAGACAAAAACUUCAUCUCCCAUGCUUGAAACUUGAGAAUCCUCAUGUUCCUCAAGACCUCAGAUGUUGCCUUCAUCCUUUUAUCUUUCGACUCCAUUAACUUUUCCUGAAACUUCUCCUGCAAGGACCCCAAAGGAACAUUUGCCAACAUAACAAUUAUUGUUGCAACUAAAGUUGCAAUGGCUGCAAGACCAAGAUUUAUGUACAAAAUCACUAGGGCCAAGCCAACUUGUAGAAUGACCAUCAAUGGUUCAUGCAUGUACCAAGAGAAGUCACCAACCCUCUCAGCAUCAACAGUCAUAAAAUUGAUAAUCUCACCGCUAGUGUGGCCCUGCUUGGACUGGCAUGACAGGGUCAAACCCUUAUUAUAGAUCGCUGUGACAAGUACCGCUCGGAUUCUUACUCCUACCUGUUGUACCUUAAAGAACCAGUGCCUUUGACAGAGGCACUCCACCAGCUUCGCAAUCAUAAAUGCAGAAACCAAAGCAUAGCCUUCAUUUUUGAAUUUUCUCCGUCCAUAGAGGUAUUGAACAAACGUGUCAAUUAGAUAUGGACCGACAUAAGAUGCCAAUGUGUUAAAUGUAGCAUAUAACCCUGUCAAGCCAACGUCUUUCCAGGCUGAGAAUAUCAAUGCCUUCGCCAGAUGAAAUGUGGUAACUCUGCCAUCCGCACCCCACUCCGCCUCCAGUUUAUUUCUAAAAUUUGGAAAGGACCCAGCUACACUAUCACCCUUGUAUAGUUCAGGAACAUCCUCAAGGUCUAAUGUCGUCUUAUUGCCAAGCGCAAUUAGAGGACCAAUCCAAGAAAAAGUAAGGAUGCUGAAAAAUCCAGCAUUUGAAUAAGGGGUAACAGGUGUACCCCCUUUGGAAUUAUUUGACACUGCAUUACCAUUACCAUUCAAAAGGGGUUCCUCAAGAACGGUAUUUCUGCCCUCUUUCUUCCCAAAAAACCCCACAAAUAUAAAGAACAAACCCGAGAUGACGCAGACAACAUCAAAAACAAAAGAUUGAACGGGCAAGGAAACGUGUUCCUUGUACAGAAGAAUAUCUAUCACAAGGGAAUAGCAAGAGAUAGAAAAGUAGGAACCCCACCAAACUCUCAAUAAAUUUGGAAACUUUGAUUCAGAAGAAUUAGAGAACUGGGUAUGCAAGUAGACACAAAGAGCACCCCAAGCAAGUGUUCUAAUGGCUAAAUCAAAAAGGGUCACUAGCUUUUCCUCAGUCCAAUCGUUUCUAUGCCAAUAGAAGUAGUUCAAUAAACAAAAAACAAGACUGAGCCCAGAAACACCAAGACAACAGAGUAAAGUUAGCUUAUAAUACCAACUUUGAAUACUCCCAAACCUCUGUUUUGGACCUUCUCCAUCACCCACCUUGAAUUUCUUCCACACCCAAGAGACGAGCAACACAAAUAACAAAACUAGGUGUAAUGAGCCAGAAAACCCACGUAUGAAAACCGGUUUGAGAAGAAAAUCGGUACCUGGAUACGUAAUGAAUGAUGAUGAGUAGUGUGAGAAGAAGGCUGAGAGAGUACCGUGCUUUGAAGAAUCAAAAAGCUCCAUAAUUUGUGGAGCUUUUUGUUGGGGCUCUCUGAAAUUCUGGUAAAUGGGCUAUUUGUUGGAAUGGUCUGAGUUUUGUAUUGAAAUGCAGGAUUUUGUAUGUUAUAUAGAGGAGGGAGAGAGAGAGAGAGAGAGAGAGAGAGAGAGAGAGAGAGAGAGAGAGAUUAGUUUGUGGACGACUCAGGGAGUGUAGUCAGAGAAUGGAGAGUCAAAUGUCAAUGUGGAUUUUUCUUGGACCGUAGGCUAACGUGGUGCCCAAGACUCACAUGACGGAGAUAGCUAUAGAUGGCUGCAUAGUGACACAGAAAAUGGUUGGUUCCAGGAAAUAUGUGAACUGAUGGUAGAGAGGGAUUGACCAAUCCAUUAUAAUCUGUCUUGUAGAGCCCACCAUAUUGUAUUUCAUCACUGCAAACUAUUUAUUUUUUAGAUAUUCAUUCGAAGAUUAACUUUGCAAAAAAUCUUUUAAAUUCGAUAUUAUUUGACCACUCAAUUAAAUUAUUGAAAUUUUAAUACUUUCUUGAAACACCAUGUUCAUUGAUUUUAUAGGACACAAUUAAAUAUCUAAAAAGUUUUCAAUUUGUCUAAUUUUUUACAAGAAUGAUCUAUGGUUUUGUGUGCACAGUAAGAGACAUUUUUGGCUCUUCAUAUGUUGGACUUACUAAAGUAAGAUAAGAAAAUAAGAAAACUAGAAGCCUGCGUGUUAUUGGUAGGCAACAAGUCCACAUAACGCCCUCCCCACUACUGGACAAAACAUUCGACAAGAACUUCGAAAUUCAAAAAGAGUUCACUGUCAUCUUUAAAAUCCCAACACAUGUUUUGACUAGAAGUAUGUGAAGUGGUGCACUCCAAGAUUCCAAAUUCCAAUCCAUUAUUAGUAUUAUUCUGUAUAUAUUUCCUUUUGAGGAAAAUUAUUAUGUAAAAUUGUUUGGGCAUGGCAAUUUUUAUAUGCGAUGCCAAAGUGACUUGGGGAGUUAAGAUUUAAGCCAUGGUCGGCACUCGGGACUGUGAUUAAAGGGGGUGGGUGGCAUGUGAUCAAAAUUAACAAAAAAUUAGAAGGGCUUAAUUCUUAUUAUCCUUAUGUUCUACAUGUAUUAAAAUGUUAAGGUAAGUUUGUUAUUUUUCAUUUCUUAAAUGAUGACUGAGAUAUUGAUCAAAUACGAAAAUUGAUAACUAAGAUUUUGUUAAUGGGAGCUGUUAGUGGCAAUAAAAAAUGUCAUCUUGCACUCAUCCUUUGUAAUUAUAUAAGAGAAAAAUACAUGAUGGUUCUUUUAAGAGCCAAAAACAGUUACUUUUAAUUAUAAUUUGAAAAUUAGAACAAAAAAAGUUGAUAUAGAUACAAAUUCUCAUUGAGGAGUUGGGGUUAAUUCUUAGAUUUGAUGACUUUGAUCUAAGUCCUUUGACUUUUCUGCCACAUAAGAUUACAUUCCUUUUUAAAUACAUUCUAAUGUAAUCUUUUUAUAUUUUUAUUUUUAAAAUUAUUUUUGUUCCAAUGAUGCCCUUAUGACUUAAAUCGGGUAAUAGUGAUUUCUGUCAUAAUAAUUAGCCAUUUACAACGUUUGGUAUUGAAUAGAAAAGGCAAAUACGGCAGAUGGGGUAAGUUAUUUGUAUCGUUUGGCAUUGACAUAAUUGAUAGCUUAUUUCUUUUUUAGUUUGUCCAUUAGGGGGUGUAUUCAAUUGAGAUUUUAAAAGACUAUUUUGGGAUAAAAAUGUAUUUUGGUAUUCAAUUAAAACUUUUAAAUAAUCUAAACAAGUCUUGUGGUGUUCCAUUAAGACUAUUAGGAUUUUUAAAAGAGGGUGUCGAAAUCACGUGGUAUUCAAUCAAGACAUCCAAUAAUUUUUUCCUCUACUUUAAUUGUUAUUUUAUCUUCAACAGAGCAAAACAUCCCCAUAAACUUGGGUUGGUGCUUUUUUCAGAGCAAAACCUUUCUUCCCUUUUUAAUUUGCAUAUCGUUGAUCUCCAGGUAGUGAGCUUUAAUCAAACACAAACCAAAUUGUCUUCUUGUUGUGGGAAAGCUUGGAACUUCUUCUCGAUAAUUACAUGAAUUACCUGCCUUUGAUUCUUUCGUUUCAUAUAUUUUUUUUCGGCUGUCCAUCUCAUGAUGAACAUCAUUGAACGAUUUUGGCUAUUAUGGUGCAACAGUAAGAAGAACCUAGAGAACUCUAGGAUUUCCUCUACGCCUUUUCAAGAGAGUUGUGCACCAGUUUUGAUUUUUUUGGUGGUUUGCCCACCAUGACAAUCAAUCCACACGAAUUGCUGUUGAAUUGGAGGUUGGACACAUCCUUGAAAGCAUUUGAUCAGAGUUGCUUGUUGGAAUAGAAUAUAUGACGAUUGAAAUCAUCAUAGAAGACAAUUUCUCCUGUUGAUUGUGGACUGGUUGUUUGAAAACAUCACUGGAAAUAUUUGAGCGGAGCCAAGUCUUAGAGAGAUCCCUGACUAUUUUUAUGAUGAUAGAAAUCAUCAUAGCCAGGGACGCUUGGGUUGAUCGAAACCUGGAGUCCUGAGCAAACAAGAAAACUGUGCCAUAGAACUAAGAUUUUACCUUGAGAUGGCUUUUGAUUUCUCUAGUAUGCUUGUUGUCUUUCUUUUCUUCCUGCAGCUAUUCUCUUUUCUGCUCCUUCCCCCUUUUUUAAUCACAGGCAUGACUCUUUUAUAGGCCAUGAGUUUUAAGGAGUUUGAGAUUGAGUGAACUAUCACUCCUUGGUCUUAGUGUUUGAUACAAACACUCUAAGUACAACCAUUGCAUCAAAAGGACUUUUAUUCCUUUUAAACACCUGCCGGAUGAAUUAUUAUUGUUGUCACUCACUUUUAAUAAAUUUCCAUGUAGACAGCCAUCCCUAUUUAAUUCAUAAAAAUUAUCGUUUCAGCAUGCGGGGUUUUGUCCAAUCAUGCGAAGAGAAGUUGUUUGUAUACCAAAGCCUCACACCCAAUUGCUGAACUCCAAUUUUCUCACUCUAUCUCUAAUGGUGGAGCAAAUAGCUCUCCCUCUGCUCAUUCACAACCCACCACAAAUUUUUGUUAAAAAAAUUAUAACCUACACUGCAUAUGUCUAGCCCACUUAAAUUAAACCUAUACAAAUCUAUCAAACAUACCAUCCCAUCCUCCUGUGUAGUUCUUCUCCUCCUCUGCAAAACAGACAUAAUUGCCAGCAACUCCGCUCAACUUCUUUGCAGCCAACAACUUCUCUUCUUUGCAACAACAAGUAUUCUUCUCAUUCUCUCCUUUUUAAUUAUCUUAUGCAUAUUUAAUUUGAAUAGAAAAUGUUCUAGGGUUUAAUUAGGAAUGACUUAUAAUUUGGAGAUUUUGUUGAAAUUAAUUAGGGCUUUGAUUUUAGGAAUUUUGUUGAGAUGUUUGAUUUGUUGUUGGUAUUGUUGAGAUGUUUGAUUUGUGUGUUGGUAUGUUUGAUUAAAUGCAUUAAUUUGUUGUUGGUAUUGUUGAGAUGUUUGAUUUGUGUGUUGGUAUUUUUGUUGAAAUGUUUGAUUAAAAUCAUUUCUACAUAUUAUUUAUUUUAUAGGUUAUUUUUUAUUAUGUCGGAUCACAAUCGGAACCCCAAGAAAAUUAAGACCUUGUUGUCUUUUUUUAAGAAAAAGAAUGAUGGUUAAUCAUUAAUACAAAUAUCAACUAUUUUGAACGAUGAUCUAGGAGUAUGUCAUCUAAUGUGCAAAUAUUUGGUGAAAGAACAAUAUAAUGUGCGAAGAACAUAUAUUCUUUUAGGGGCAUGUCAAUCUGAGUUAGAACAUUAUCCAAGCCACUUAGAAGAAAUAAUCUUACGUUGAUUUAAUAAAAAGUGGUUUGGCCAAUUCUCUUGACUUGAGUACUCAGUUGCAAAGAACUAGGCAUUUUGUUUUUCUUAUUUCCUAAUUGAUAGAAUGAAUAAUUUUCGGCCUUGUUUUCCUUGGUUCCUAUAUACAGCAACAACGGAACGAGCUUUCGCAUGUAUGAGAAUUAUUGAAUCGACUUUGAAACACUGUAUGUGAUGAAUUUCUUGCUCAUUGUAUGAUCCUCCACAUUGAAAGAGGGUUUGCCAAUACUAUUGACCAUGCAUCAAUAAUUUAGGAAUUUAAGAAUCCUAAGCCUCGUAGGGCUAAAUUUUAUAUUUAAAUAGUUUUGUUUUGUAUUGCAUUGCGUUGCAUUUACUUUUGGUUUUUAUUUUAGUUUUUGUAUUUGUAGAUAUAUAUAUGCUCAUUACACACACCUACACCCCUCCACCCCUCCCAACUAUAUGUCUCUUUUUAUGUUUAUUAAUGAAAUUCACUACGAUCUACUCUAGCAAAUGCUUUAACAAAACUUCUUGUAAAUAGGGAAAGGACAAAGUUGUUAUUCUGUGUGGGAAUAGCUAGGUGAUGAUACUAAGGCAAUGCUAAGGUGAUAGUAAGUGGGUUGGAAAGAGUAUGAGACCCAAAUGGGAUUAUGUCCUAACACGUGACUCCAACCUUGGCAAGCCCUGGUCCCACCACCGCACUUCCUCUCAAGGUCAGCAUAUCCUCCAUUCCUUUCUCGACCCAUAAUUUGAUUCUUCUAAAAUAGAUGAGCAGCUUUUGGGUAAAUUAAGAGCAAGACCCACCAUGAAGUGAUGUGGUGAAUGCUUAAAUGUGAAUAUGGUUUGAAUGUAUUAGGUUAUUUUUAUUCUUCUCCAUAAGGAGGUAUAUAUAAGAGUUUACAUGUGCUAUACAAGGAAUUAGAUACAGUAAAAAUUUAGGAAAGUAUCUUCUAAUUAUACAAUGAUUUAUCAACUAUAUAAAAAUAGGAAAGUAAAUCCAUUAAUUAAUCAAGGAAGUAAAUCUCCUUGAUUAAUUAGGAGACUCACGUCAACACUCCUCCUCAAGUUGGUGCAUAUAUGUCACCAAUGCCCAACUUGGUAAGUGAAUCAUAAAAUACUCUUCCACAAACAGCUUUGGUUAAGAUAUCUGCCAAUUGAUCUUCUGAUUUUACGAAUGGUAGGCGGAUAAUCUUCUUCUCAGGUUUUUGUUUGAUAAAAUGUCUAUCCACCUCAACAUGUUUAGUUCGAUCAUGUUGAACUGGAUUAUGGGCAAUAUCGAUGGCUGACUUGUUAUCACAAUGUAACUUCAUUGGCUUUUCUGGCUUGAACCCCAAUUCUAUCAAUAGUCUUCUUAUCCAUAGUAAUUCACAAAUUCCUUGAGUCAUUCCAAGAUACUCUGCUUCAGCACUAGAUCAAGAAACUACAUUUUGUUUCUUACUCCACCAAGUGACUAGGUUACCUCCCACAAAAGUGAAGUAACCUGAAGUAGAGCGUCGAUUAGUAAUGGAGCCAGCUCAAUCAGCAUCUGUAUAUCCAACAACUUCGAGAUCUCUAUUUUUGAAGAACAUUAACCCUUUCCCAAGUGCUGACUUUAAGUAUCUUAAGAUCCGAUCAACUGCAUUCCUAUGAGAAACAUUGGGCGAAUGCAUAAACUGACUAACCACACUCACAGUAUAUGCAAUAUCUGGUCUUGUGUGAGCUAAAUAUAUCAAACUUCCAACAAGGUGUUGGUACUGUUCCUUAUUGGUUGGUUCUUGAUCUAUGUCUUCACAUAACUUGUGAUUCAUCUCGAUGGGUGUAUCAACAGGUUUGCAUCCAAGCAUUCUUGUUUCAGUGAGCAGAUCUAAUACAUACUUUAUUUGAGACAGAAAUAUACCAAUUGUGGACCUGACUACUUCAAUUCCUAGAAAGUACUUCAGAUCACCUAAAUCUUUCAUCUCAAAUUCCUGAGACAAAUACUUCUGCAAUUUCAGUUGCUCUCCUGUGUCGUUUCCAGUUACGACUAUGUCAUCCACAUAAACAAUCAAUACAGUAAGUCUUCUUCCAUCACGCUUCAAGAACAAAGUGUGAUCUGCAUUACUCUGUAUAUAUCCAAAAUUCUUUAUUGACAGGACCCGCCCCGAAUUUCCCGAAACCCGAGACGAAUCCCGAAAAUUCUUUAUUGACAGGACCCACUUCUAGAACUAUACCCCUUUUUUCCAAAAUGGAAUAAGGGUACGAGACUUUCUGCUGAAAUUUCGGCAGAGUCUCCCCUGUAAAUUGAACAUUGCCCAAAAUUUCAACAUGCAUAAAAACACAUUUAAUAUCCACAACUGGCAGCAUGCACAAUAUAAUUUCAUGCAAUUCACAUAAACGGCCUUCGACUUUCGGCCUUCGACCUUCCAAUAAUUCUCAACUACCAAGCAUGCUAACAAAUCAAUUCAUGCCUUAAACAAGGCAAACGAUAAAUUCAAAUAUGAAUUAUGACUACUAAAUUUCAACAUGCAUCUUUUAACUUUUCCAAUCCAAAUAUACAAGGUUUUAACCUCUUAACAUAAUCACAUCUAUGUCCGCGACGGCACCUAAUAACCUUAGGCUGCCUACGUACCCUCAUGAGUGAUCAACCCAUACGUAGUUCUUUCCUAAAGCCCAAUUCCACACAUAGGCAAUAACUUUAUUCAUAUCUCAGUAUUUCACAUUAUCUCCCCAUACGUCGGUACUACCAACACCACGUAUGGGGUCUGUCCGCUGGAUAACCUACACCACGUGCGACCUCACCAUAUUAUGGCAUAAUCUCCCCAUACGCCAUGUACGGGGCCUGUCAACACGCCGGAUUACCUACGCCACGUGCGACCUCACCAUAUUAUCACAUAAUAUCCCCAUACGAUUAAUCAUUAUUUAAAAUAAUAUUUAAAAGUUUCCUAUAAUACAAAUAAACACUCUAAAAAUCCCAACUUAGUCAACACAGCUCAACAACGCUCAAGACCUGUCAUUAGGGUCAUUAUGAUCCUUUUAGGAAGGUAAAACUACCGCGAAAGACUCAAGGUCAACCAAGAGUCAAACUACCCACACUUGGUCAAACGGGCCUACGGGCCCACGACCUCAAAAUUCCGAUCCGAAGGUUCCUAUGGGUUCUACAAGGUAUAGGACACUCGUCCUGCAAGUUUAGUCUAGAUUGGACAGUCAGAUAGCUCAUGAUCGCACGAUCUGAAGGUUAAUAUAAAACAUAAACUUUAAAUUAUUUAAUCGGAACAUCCGGGGUUCUGAUUCACAAUCCGUGAAUUCCUACACGAUCCUAGAAAUACCUAGAUUAACAUAUAUUAAAUUUGAGACCAUUCAACGUUCCCAACCUAUCGAACCCGGAUAACGCGCAAUAGGCGAUAUCCGUUCGAGACUCAAACGGUAUCUGAAUUGAGAUCCGUAAAAUCCUACGCACUCGUGACAACCUAAGNNNNNNNNNNNNNNNNNNNNNNNNNNNNNNNNNNNNNNNNNNNNNNNNNNNNNNNNNNNNNNNNNNNNNNNNNNNNNNNNNNNNNNNNNNNNNNNNNNNNGCAACUUCACUACCCUCGCCCACGCGCCGGCAGUGCUGGGUGCCCAAAGCAAUUACGCAUCGCCGAAAAAUCAUAAAAUCACGGCUUCAAACUCCUACCCUAUGUAUAACACCCUUUUGUUCUUGGACCUACCCCAAAAACUGACCGGAAGUGGCCGGAAUCGUGAUCCUAAAACCGGCCAAAUUUCAAUUCGUAAAUCGAAUUACCUAUGCUAAGAAUCGAUCGAAUCUUACCCAAUAGGCAGCUAGAGCAUGAAAAGUAGGUGAGAAACCAUACCUCACUCGUCGGAAUCGGUGCCCGGAGGAGGGAGAUCGACGGCGGAGAAGUUCGGACGACACCGGCCGCUUCUUCUCCAUUUUUCGGCGAAACCACGGCGGCUAGCGGCUGGACCUGGUUGGGGUUGGAAGAGGACGACGCCUCGGUUAUUUUGGUACCGGCCCCGUCGUCAUCGGUGGCCGGAUAAGGGAACGGCCGGCCAAAAUGUGGCCGGCUGCCGAUGUACGCGAGAGAGAGAGAGAGAUAUAUAUAUAUAUAUAUAUAUGAUUUUUAUAAAAAAAAAAAUCUCAUUUUGAAAUAAUUAUGAUUGUGCCACUGAGUUUCUUUUAACCAUAUCUCUCUCGUUACAACUCCGAUUCGAGCCCACCGCGUGUCUACGGACUCAUCUCAGUACGACCUUCCCAAAAAUACUAGUCACUGCCCCAAACUCCUUUCGGGUAAGAAAAUGACCAAAUUACCCCUACAUCAAGGGUAAAUUUAUAAUUUCACUUAAAUAAUUUAAAUAAGGGAUUGAAUUUGGAGUCGGGGUGUUACAUUUAUGGAUUUAGUGAAUCUGCCAAACCAUAUCCUAGGGGAUUGCUUUAACCCAUACAAUGACUUUCUGAGCUUGCAAACUUGAUCCUCCUUGUCACGAGCUAAGUUACAUCCUAGUGGCAAGUCCAUAUAUACUUCUUCUUCCAAGUCUCCAUGUAAGAAGCAUUUUUGACAUCAAACUGAUGUAAUGGCCAAUCGAGAUUUGCGGCUAGAGACAGAGGGGCUUUGAUAGUUUUAAUCUUGGCUACUGGGGUAAAGGUCUCUUGGUAAUCUAUUCCAUAUCUUUGCGUGUACCGUUUCGCCACCAAUCUAGCUUUAUAUCUUUCAGUAGAUCUAUCUGCUUUGAGUUUCAUAGUAUAAAUCCACCUACAUCCCACUGUCUUCUUUCCAUGAGGUAAUGGCAUGAGUUCCCAUGUGCCAUUCUUCUGGAGAGCUCGCAUUUCUUCAUUCAUGGCUUCUUUCCAUUUUGAGUCUUCUAGUAUUUCAGUUACACUGUUGGAAAUAGGUAUGUAGGCCAACUGCUUCACAAAGUGUACCCGUGACUCUAAUAGUCUGCUGAUGGAUACAUAAUUGUUGAUGAGAUAUUUCCUUUUUGCAUUAAGAUCUGCUUUGUAGUGAACUGGAGGUUUUCCACGGUUCUUUCAUUUUGGAAGCUAAUAUGCAGGCUCUAUGCCUUCUAAAAUUAAAUCAUCAUGGGAUAUUUCAUUAAUGUUAUUAGUUUCAGGAGAAGAUGUUACCUGAAUGACGUCCUCAGCAGGUGAUUGGUGUGGUAUUGGAGCUAAAGAAUUCUCCUGUGUUGGCAAAACCUCCUCAAUGAUGAUCUCCUCCUGAGUUUGACAGCAGGGAGACGAUCGGUCUCUGUCCUCUGGCGACCGGUCGUUUUUGCACAGAGUUUAAUUUUCGGGGGGCGACCGGUUAAUUCCACUUGCGACUGGUCGCUUUUGCACAGAGUACAAUUCUUGCUGGGCGACCGGUCGUUUUCAAUCUGGGACGUUUCUGCAGGAAAAAAUUCAGAAAUUGGAAAGUCUUGGCAUUUUGAUCCUCUUCCUGGACGACUGAAAAAUAUGUCGGAUUCCCAUAACACAACAUCCAUAGAAGUAUAGACUUUCUGACUCGGAGGAUGAUAACAUCAAUACCCUUUCUGAUGAGGUGCAUAGCCGAUGAAAACACAUUUUUUGGCGCGGGGAUCCAAUUAGCUGCGUUGGUAAUUAUGUAAGUGGACGAAGACCACACAGCCAAAGAUUCAGGGUUCCAGGUUUUUAGUAUGAGGUAUUUGGAGAUAGUGGUAGAGUGUUUGAAGGGGGUUUGGAAAUUGAGGAUACUGGAGGGAAUCCGAUUGAUAAGGUAUGCUACAGAGAGGAUGGCUUCUCCCCAAAAGGACUGAGGCAUAUUGGCACCAAAGAGAGAGGCACGAACCACUUCCAAUAAAUGUCUAUUCUUUCGUUCAGCCACACCAUUAUGUUGGGGAGUGUAAGGGCAUGCGCGUUGAUGUAUGAUGCCAUGAUCUUGUAAGAACUGAUUAAGAUCAUGAUUGAAAAAUUCUUCGCCAUUGUCAGACCAAAGAACCUGAAUUCUGGUAUGAAAUUAUGUCUCUACCAUUUGAUAGAAUGUUGAAAUUUGGAAUUGACUUCCCCAUUUGUUUGGAGAAGAGAAACCCAGGUCAUAUGUGUGCAAUCAUCAAUAAAUGUGACAAACCAUCUAGCACCCUCAGGAGUGGUAAUUUUAGCCGGGCCCCAAACAUCAGAUUGACAGAGAAAAUGGAACUUNNNNNNNNNNNNNNNNNNNNNNNNNNNNNNNNNNNNNNNNNNNNNNNNNNNNNNNNNNNNNNNNNNNNNNNNNNNNNNNNNNNNNNNNNNNNNNNNNNNNUAACUGGGAAAAUAAGGAAGGAAAUAGCUUAUGUAAAUAUCCAAACGACGCGUGUCCAAGACGUCGAUGCCAUAACCAUACUUCAGAAGUUUACUUCUCAACACUCGUACCCCCAAUUUUGUAAGCUUGACUGAGGCUAGCUUCACUGUCAGAGGCGAGGUCUAGAUAGUAGAGUUUGCCCCUCUUAGUACUACAACCAAUAGUCUUGUUGCUGAGGAUGUCCUGAAAAACACAAUGAGUAGGCCAAAAGGUUACAGUGCAAUUCAAAGCCGUAGUAAUUUGGGCAACAGACAAAAGAUUAUGAUGUAAGGAUGGAACAAUCAACACAGAAUCCAAAGUGAGAGUCAGAAAGAGAGAGAGUGAACACUCCCCAAUUACUAGGGAAGGGAUACCAUUGGCAUUAGACACCACCGAUUGAGAAGACGGUGUAUGAGAGGUAAGUUGUCCAGGAUCAAAGGUCAUGUGAUCAGUGGCUUCGGUGUCAAUGACCCAGAUGUGUUUCUUUGAAGAACUAUGCAAAACAUAACCGCGGGAACCUGUUGUGGCAAUUUUUGAGGAUGAGGAAGUGAAGGCAGCAGUUUGGGAAGAUGAAACGAUAUUCAUGGCAGCGGAAGGAUUUAAGAAGAAGAGAACAAAAAAAAAAAAAGAAUUUGUGUUUAGGGUUUUGUGAUAAGAGGAUAUGAAGAUUUGGGUAUGAAGAUCUGAAUUUGAAAUUGUAAAUAUGAGGAAUUUGAUUUAGGGUUUGGGUGUGAAGAAAUUUGAUAUGGGGAUUUAAGGUUUGUGUUUGAAGAAAUUUGAUAUGAGGAUUUAGGGUUUGUGUUUGAAGAAAAUUUAAUAUGAGAAUUUAGAGACAACCGAGGAUCGAUUGCUCUGAUAUCAUGCUUAAAUAUGAAUAUGGUUUGAAUGUAUUAGGUAAUUUUUAUUCUUCUCUAUAAGGAGGUGUACAUAAGAGUUUACAUGUGCUAUAUAAGGAAUUAGAUACAGUAAAGAAUUAGGAAAGCAUCUCCUAAUUAUAUAAUGAUUUAUCAACUAUAUAAAAAUAAGAAAGUAAAUCCCUUAAUUAAUCAAGGAAGUAAAUCUUCUUAAUUAAUUAAGAGACUCAGGGUCAACAGUGAAUAUGGUUUUCUGUGCACAGCAAGAUAAUUGACAAUUUUGAAUCUUCUUGUGUUAAAUCAUACGUUGGACUUACUAAAGUAAAAUAAGAAAAUAAGAAAACUAGAAGCCUGUGUAUUAUUGGUAGGCAACAAGUCAACAUAACACCCUCCCCCCUAUUGGACAAAACAUUCAACAAGAACUUCGAAAUUCAAAGAGUUCACUGUUAUCUUUUAUAUCCCAACACAUGUUUUGACUAGUAUGUGAAGUGGUACACUCCGAGAUUCCAAAUUCCAAAUUCCAAUUCAUUAUAUCUACGGUAGAGAGAGAUAGACCACCAAUCCAUUAUUCCAACCAUAGUCUGAAAUAUCGAUAAUUUUGACGAAAUAUCGAGGAUAUUUUGGUUUUUUCGAAUCACAGAUAUUUUGGAACAUAUCCAUGUACAUAUCGUAUAAAUAUCGACAAUAAUAUCGAUGUGAAGGGAGAAAAGAAAAGUAAAAAAAAAGAAGGGAAAAAGGGGUAGAAAAAAGCACAAAGGGGAUAUGAACCUCUCCCAUUUUACUCCUCCAACACCUUAAACACCAUAUCACUUAUGCUUUUGUGAUAAUAUGCUAAAAUAUUUAUAUUUAUAUGGGUGGUAUGUUAAUAAUUAUAUGCAAAACUAUUUUUGGGAUUUAUCAUUUGAUGACUACUCUUCACAAUACACUUACUCUACACAUAGAGAUGAUGAAGAUAGUGAAAAAUUUGAACCUCAUAGGAACUCUAUGUGGUACUAAGUCACUCAUGUAUCUUACCAUGCAAUGUAUAAAGUAUAAAAUAUUGUAGCAAAUCAUUAUAUAUAAAUGAUUAUGGUGUGUUUAAUAUUUUUUCAUUAAUUAACAACUUAAAUUACUUAAAUCCAUCACGCAAUGCAUUUCCUUCUAAUCUUUUGUAAUAAACUCAUAGAUACUUGACUAAAUAAACAUUCUCCAAAGUUUCAAUAAAAAUUUCCAAGUUUUUCUUACAAUUUCCGUGGUUUUUAUUCAAUUUUUAUCGAUAUCAAUAAUAUCCCGAUAUUUCCAUCGAAAUUUCCAUAUUUUUGGACUACCUAUAUUUCCGAUAUCAUUGAUAUUUUAGACCUUGAUCCCAACACAUGUUUAAACAAAAUUAAUAUUAUUCUAUAUAUAUCCUUUUUAGGAAAAUUAUUAUGUAAAAUUGUUUGGGCAUGGCAGAAAUGUAAUCACAAAACAAUCAUUUUAUAUGCGAUGCCAAAGUGACUUGGGGAAUUAAGGUUUGGGCAUGGCAGGAAUGGAUAGCCAUGGUCGGCACUCGGGACUGUAAUUAAAGGGGUAGGUGGCAUGUGAUCAAAAUUAACAAAAAUGUUAAGGUAAGCUAAAUGAGAUAUUGAUCAAAUAAGAAAAUUGAUAAAUAAGAUUUUGUCAACGGGAGCUGUUAGUUUUUAAAUUUCAGAGAGACGGGCCAGUGGCUCAUUACUAGCAACACUGAUAAUGUUCCUAACUUAACCACCUACAGAGUUCAGUAAGUGUGAGGUUUUAUCACAAAAGGCCUCAGUGUUAUUAGUGUUGAGGCCCAAAAAAUCCACGCUUCGGCCCAAAUAAAUUCUCAGCCCAAUGCGAUAUCUUACCGAGAAGAAACCCAAUUUGGGGCACGCGAAAGUUUGCCAUAUGCGCUUAUACACAUGCCACGCCAAGCAAAUAAACAACAUGUCAUGCUACAAGCUUAAGUGGGCCCAAGCCACGCAAGAUGCCCGGGGCUUGCUUGAGUGGGUUGUGGUAUGGAUGGUAAUAGGUCGUCAUGAGGCCCAUUGAUGGGUCAAGAAAUGGAGGUUCCGGGUUGCUUGGGAGCCUCGGAACCCAAGCCCAUUUCUUAGGCCCAAACAUGUGGGUGAGCACAAAAGGGAAAAUAACUCAAUCAAAAUAACCCAACCAAAAUUAGCCCAGUCAAAGGAUAGCCCAACCAAAAGCCCAAUGUUUAAAUAGCCCACUUAUUUAAAUGAAGUACCUUAGCCCAUACAAAAUUCCACAAUAAGCCACAAAAGCCUCAGCCCUUUGCUAGAAAAGUAGAAGCCACGUAAAAGAGGUCUGCAGGUUCACUGAACAGAGUUAUUGGGAAGUGCCAGCACAUGGGAAUGGAUCAAGUUCCAAAACAAAACACCAGAGAAACCAAGGGAUGUUAACAUGCAAGCUACCAGGAAGAGAGACACUCUUCAAACCAACAUACAUAUCCCAACUCCUUCCCUAUCAAAACUGGUUAUAGGAAAGAGUGAGAAAGAAAGGAAGAAAAUGGCUGGAAGUAGAAAUCUUCUACUGAAGCAGCCGCAGGAAAGGAGGCCUUGAGCUCCAAAAUCCCUGAUUUUGUGCAAAUAGAUAGAGAAAAAUCUCACUAAAACAGGAAAAGUCAAGAGAGGAAAGGAAAAGGGAAGGAAAACCUUGCUAAGUUAGGGAAUAAACCAUUAGGGUUUCUUGGGGAAUGAAGGUCUCCCGCAGCUAUAAAAGGAGGUCCCUUCCACCUAGCAAAAACCAACCCAGGCUGAGAGAGCAAGCUCCCUCUCUUACUUGCAAAAAUCCAGUAGCCCUAUUCACUCUUCUUCUUCGUUCUUCUCUGUUAACAGACUAUUUUCAGAGUCUGUCAAGCUGCCGGAAGAAGUAAUGCCCUUCCUUUACCCCUUUUUAGCCAAGAUCAUCCUGCAGACCUUGUCUCCCUCAUCUUAAACACUCCCAUUUCUCCCUAGGAAGCCUUAUUUUCCUCUUUGGUGCUCAACUCAUGCUGACCUUGCUCCCAUGCCACAAUCUCCUCAUGCUAAGCUAAAACUUUAUCUGUAAGCAAGCAUAAAUCACCUGUAAGCAGCCAUCAUUUUCGUUGGUGAAGGUAACCAGAACACUUCCUAAGGCUUUACUGCCCUUUCGAAGUGCUUUUGGGGCUUAAUUUUCGAACUCAGGCACAGGGGGCAAUUCCAGUAAUUUCCCCUUUACGGCAGCCCAGUCUAUUUGCAGCUGCCGGAAGAAAAAGACCCCCACAAUUAGUAGUAGAACUAUUUAUUAUAUUUUGUAUUUUAUUUAGUCAAGUUUUCAAUUUGUGACUCAUAGUCUUCAAAACUCCCCCUCACAUGGGACUCCCACACAGUAGGUCACAUGUGGAGCCAAGUCCACAUCGGAGUCAAACAUUCAAGCCCAACACGUGAGCACCACAUAUUGGAUAAGGGUAAACAUUCAAGUCCAACAUGUGAACACCACAUGUUGGGUAAAUGGUAAGGGUAAAAGCCCAGUAAUUCAGGCCCAAUCAAUCCACCCACUCAUACACCAUGUUAAAUUUCAAAGACACGGGCCAGCGGCCCACUACUAGCAACACUGAUAGUGUCCCCAACUUAACCACCUACAAAGCUCAGUAGGUGUGGGGUUUUAUCACAAAAGGUCUCGGUGUUAUUAGUAGUAAAACUAUUUAUUAUAUUUUGUAUUUUAUUUAGUUAAAUUUCCGAUGUGGGACUCAUAUUCUUCAACAUUAGUGACAAUAAAAAAUGUCAUCUUGCACUCAUCAUUUGUAAUUAUAUAAGGGAAAAAUACAUUAUGAUUUUUUUAAGAGCCAAAAAUAAUUCCUUUUAAUUAUAAUAUGAAAAUUAGAACAUAAAAAGUUGAUAUAGAUACAAAUUUUUAUUGAGGAGUUAGGUUUAAUCUUCAAAUUUGAUGACUUUGAUUUAAGUCCUUUGACUUUUGUACUACAUAGGAUUAUAUUCAUUUUUAAAUAUAUUUGGAUGUAAUCUUUUCAUUUUUUUAUUUUUAAAAUUAUUUUUGUUCCAAUGAUGCCCUUAUGACAUAAAUCGGGUAAUAAUGAUUUAGCUAUUUACAACGUUUGGCAUUGAAUAGAAAAGGCAAAUACAACAGACGGGAGAAGCUAUUUAUAUCAUUUGCAAUUGAUAUAAAGAAAAAUUAGGUUUUAGACAUAAUUAACUUUAUUAAUUAGUUUGUAAGAUAUUGGAUAUUUUGGUUUUAGUUUUAAUACCUAGGAAAAAAUUACUAUUUUGGAUUAGCCCAAAGAGAGGCCCAGAUUCGUUGACCCAUUUGUAAACCUAUACAGUAAAUGACGCUUUUGCCCCUGAAUGUUUAAACAAGGCGCGACUUCUCUGUUUCGUUUUCGUUCUCGUUCGUUUGGCAGCAGCUUCGUGUUCUUCUCUGUUUCGUCUUCGAGCUCAGUUGUUUGGUAGCAGAUUUCGUUCGUUUGGCCGGCAAAUUUCGUUCGACGACGAGCAGCAACGACGAGCAGCAACGACGACGAGCAGUAACGACGAGCAGAAACCACCACCAACAACGACAACCACUGACGACUAUCGAAGCGAUUUUCACUCUCUUGGGAAAAAAAACAGUAAGAAAAUGACCCUCUAACACAGAUUUGUCUUCGAUUUUAGGGAUUACACAUUUUUGCUGUUGUUCUUUAUGCAAUGCAGUUUUUGGAAAAAUGGAUGAAUCGUUGGAUUCAAAACUACUCUUCGUUUAGGUUUUGCUUCGUUUAUAGGGAUUAACCAUUCAAAAUCGUUGGAUUCAAAAUUUCUGGUUGUUUGUACUAAAUUUUGAACCAGAAACUGCAUUGCAGUUUCUGGUUCCAUAAUUCAAUUUCAGAGUGCUUUUUGCUAGGGUUUAUGGGAAUAUUAUAACUGCUCAUGAAGUCAAACGUGUUUUGAUAUUCAGUACUGUCUUUGCAUUUUGAUUUCUGGUUGUUUGUAGCAAAUUUUGAACCAGAAACUGCAAUGCAGUUUCUGGUUCCAUAAUUCAAUUUCAGAGUGCUUUUUGCUAGGGUUUAUGGGAAUGUUAUAACUGCUCAUGAAGUCAAACGUGUUUUGAUAUUCUGUUUUUGUUUGUUGUUUUGUUUGCAUUUUCAAGGCUAAUGGAGGUGUGUGUCAUUGCCAAGUGCACAUAUAAGUCGGAAACCAUCAUGUUUUCAGUUUCAUCAGAGUCAUCCAUGGUUGAUAUUUUGAAGACUUUGUGUCUGAGGUUUAGGGGUUUGCAGUUGGGUUGUUUCACAUUACGGUAUUCGGUGCCCAGUUAUCCGAGUUGUUUUCUAGAAACGGAUAGCGAUUUGGACUUGAUGAGGACAUUUUUGUUGAUAUCAAAUGAGAAGACUGUUGAUAUUUUAGUGAAGGAUUUAUGCGGGAGCAGUGAAUAUAGUGGUGAUUUUUGUGUAAAUAAGGAGUUGAUAGCAUGUGAAAAGGGCGAGUCGUCGUGUUCUAGUACUGUCGAAGACAGAAACGAGUUUUUGGGCAGGUCGAAGAGAGCAAGUGCUAAGCCUUUGUUGUCGAAUGAGUGGGAGACAUACAUACAUCAUGUGGGGCAGAAGUUUGAAGGUGGUGCAGAGGAGUUCCGGUUGAAAUUGUGCAAGUACGCUCUUGAAGUAGGAUUUAAUUUUGAAUAUGCCGGCAAUGACAAGAAGCGGGUGGUUGCUGUUUGUUCGAAUAAGAAAUUGGAGGGUUGCAGCUGGCGUGUUUAUGCUUCUCGUUGUGAAGCUACUGGCAGUUUUGUAAUUCGGACAUUAAAUAAUGUUCAUACAUGUGCGGGUCGGAUACGGGAAUCAAAGAGUAAGAUGAUGAGGUCUCGUGUGGUGUCCUCCCUCAUUGUGGACAGAAUUCGUGCAAAACCAGAGCUGAAGCCAGUUGAGAUUAUACACGAGUUCAAAGAUUAUUAUGGUAUAGACAUUUCAUACUACCACGCAUGGUUUGGCAAAGAGUUAGCUAAAUUGGACGUUCACGGUGAUGAGUCGAAGUCCUUCAACGAGUUAGUGUGGUAUGUGGACGCCGUAAAGGAAACUAACACUGGUUCUCUCUGCACUCUUGAUUGUGAAGCUGGAAUUAAUCGCUUUCGACGGUUUUUUGUGUCUUUUGGCGGUUGCAUUGCUGGAUUUCAAUAUUGCAUACCCUUGUUGUUCAUUGAUGCUACGUUUUUGAAGAGCAAGUACAAGGGGCAGCUUCUGUGUGCUUCGGGAAAGAAUGGAAAUCAAGGUAUGGUUACUGUAAUGUAUUGCAGAUUUUCAUUUGUUGCAAUUUUUAGCAGAAACUGCAUUGCAGUUUCCCUUUUUUGAGCAGAUUUGUUUUCAUAAACUGCACUGCAGUUUCCCUUUUUUGCUUAUACUUGUGCUUUUGGUUUUGUUUUGCAGGGUUUUAUCCUCUAGCUUUUGGAGUUGUUGAUUCUGAGACAGAGGAGAAUUGGACUUGGUUUCUUCAACAUUUGGCUUCUAUAUUGCUACCGAUGGGGAGAGUGGUGACCUUUUUCUCGGACCGCAAUCAAGGUUUGUUAAAUGCAAUGGGGUUUGUGUUUCCCGGAUGGCCUCAUUCUUACUGUUAUUAUCACCUCAAACAGAAUUUGAUAUCAAAGUACCCGAAGUCAGGUUAUGGAAAACUGCUCCAAGACCGNNNNNNNNNNNNNNNNNNNNNNNNNNNNNNNNNNNNNNNNNNNNNNNNNNNNNNNNNNNNNNNNNNNNNNNNNNNNNNNNNNNNNNNNNNNNNNNNNNNNNNNNNNNNNNNNNNNNNNNNNNNNNNNNNNNNNNNNNNNNNNNNNNNNNNNNNNNNNNNNNNNNNNNNNNNNNNNNNNNNNNNNNNNNNNNNNNNNNNNNNNNNNNNNNNNNNNNNNNNNNNNNNNNNNNNNNNNNNNNNNNNNNNNNNNNNNNNNNNNNNNNNNNNNNNNNNNNNNNNNNNNNNNNNNNNNNNNNNNNNNNNNNNNNNNNNNNNNNNNNNNNNNNNNNNNNNNNNNNNNNNNNNNNNNNNNNNNNNNNNNNNNNNNNNNNNNNNNNNNNNNNNNNNNNNNNNNNNNNNNNNNNNNNNNNNNNNNNNNNNNNNNNNNNNNNNNNNNNNNNNNNNNNNNNNNNNNNNNNNNNNNNNNNNNNNNNNNNNNNNNNNNNNNNNNNNNNNNNNNNNNNNNNNNNNNNNNNNNNNNNNNNNNNNNNNNNNNNNNNNNNNNNNNNNNNNNNNNNNNNNNNNNNNNNNNNNNNNNNNNNNNNNNNNNNNNNNNNNNNNNNNNNNNNNNNNNNNNNNNNNNNNNNNNNNNNNNNNNNNNNNNNNNNNNNNNNNNNNNNNNNNNNNNNNNNNNNNNNNNNNNNNNNNNNNNNNNNNNNNNNNNNNNNNNNNNNNNNNNNNNNNNNNNNNNNNNNNNNNNNNNNNNNNNNNNNNNNNNNNNNNNNNNNNNNNNNNNNNNNNNNNNNNNNNNNNNNNNNNNNNNNNNNNNNNNNNNNNNNNNNNNNNNNNNNNNNNNNNNNNNNNNNNNNNNNNNNNNNNNNNNNNNNNNNNNNNNNNNNNNNNNNNNNNNNNNNNNNNNNNNNNNNNNNNNNNNNNNNNNNNNNNNNNNNNNNNNNNNNNNNNNNNNNNNNNNNNNNNNNNNNNNNNNNNNNNNNNNNNNNNNNNNNNNNNNNNNNNNNNNNNNNNNNNNNNNNNNNNNNNNNNNNNNNNNNNNNNNNNNNNNNNNNNNNNNNNNNNNNNNNNNNNNNNNNNNNNNNNNNNNNNNNNNNNNNNNNNNNNNNNNNNNNNNNNNNNNNNNNNNNNNNNNNNNNNNNNNNNNNNNNNNNNNNNNNNNNNNNNNNNNNNNNNNNNNNNNNNNNNNNNNNNNNNNNNNNNNNNNNNNNNNNNNNNNNNNNNNNNNNNNNNNNNNNNNNNNNNNNNNNNNNNNNNNNNNNNNNNNNNNNNNNNNNNNNNNNNNNNNNNNNNNNNNNNNNNNNNNNNNNNNNNNNNNNNNNNNNNNNNNNNNNNNNNNNNNNNNNNNNNNNNNNNNNNNNNNNNNNNNNNNNNNNNNNNNNNNNNNNNNNNNNNNNNNNNNNNNNNNNNNNNNNNNNNNNNNNNNNNNNNNNNNNNNNNNNNNNNNNNNNNNNNNNNNNNNNNNNNNNNNNNNNNNNNNNNNNNNNNNNNNNNNNNNNNNNNNNNNNNNNNNNNNNNNNNNNNNNNNNNNNNNNNNNNNNNNNNNNNNNNNNNNNNNNNNNNNNNNNNNNNNNNNNNNNNNNNNNNNNNNNNNNNNNNNNNNNNNNNNNNNNNNNNNNNNNNNNNNNNNNNNNNNNNNNNNNNNNNNNNNNNNNNNNNNNNNNNNNNNNNNNNNNNNNNNNNNNNNNNNNNNNNNNNNNNNNNNNNNNNNNNNNNNNNNNNNNNNNNNNNNNGAUUUUUCACAAGGAAUUAUUUUUUUCUACGCUUGGAACAUAUGAACCUCCAUCACAAAAAGGCUUCUCUCUUUGAGUCUCCUAGUAUGCGGGGUUUGUGCAAUCCUGCGAUGAGAAGUUCUUUUGUAGUACCAAAGCCUCACACCCAAUUACUGCACUCCAAUUUUUCUCACUCUAUCUAUAACGGUGGAGCAAAUAGCUCUCCCUCUGCUCCUUCACAACCCACCACAAAUUUCUGUUAAAAAAAAAUAUAACCUACACUACAUAUGUCUAGCCUACUCAAAUUAAACCUAUACAAACCUAUACAAACCUAUCCACCAAUCCCAUCCUCCUGUGCAAUUCUUCUCCUCCUUUGCAAAACAGAUAUAAGCAACUUCUCUGCAACCACUGCCAACAACUCCGCUCAACUUCUUUGUAGCCAACAACUUCUCUUCUUUGCAACAGCAAGUAUUCUUCUCAUUCUCUCCUUUUUAAUUAUCUUAUGCAUCUUUAAUUUGAAUAGAAAAUGUUCUAGGGUUUAAUUAGGAAUGACUUAUUAUUUUGAGAUUUUGUUGAAAUGAAUUAGGACUUUGAUUUUAGGAAUUUUGUUGAGAUGUUUAAUUUGUUGUUGGUAUUGUUGAGAUGUUUGAUUUGUGUGUUGGUAUGUUUGAUUAAAUGCAUUAAUUUGUUGUUGGUAUUGUUGAGAUGUUUGAUUAAAAUCAUUUCUACAUAGUAUUUAUUUUAUAGUUUAUCUUUUAUUAUGUCGAAUCACAAUCGAAAACCCAAGAAAAUUCAGAGCUUGUUGUCUUUUUUUUAAGAAAAAGAAUGAUGGGACAUCAUCUAAUACAAAUAUCAACUAUCUUGAACGGUGAUCCAGGAGUACGUCAUCUAAUAUGCAAAUAUUAGGUAAAGGAACAAUAUAAUGUGCGAAUAACAUAUAUUCUUUUAGGGCCAUGUCAACCUGAGUUAGAACAUUAUCCAAGCCACUUAGAAGGGAAAAUCUUACAUUGAUUUAAUAAAAAGUGGUUUGGCCAAUUCUCUUGGCUUGAGUAUUCGGUUGCAAAGAACUAGGCAUUUUGUUUUUCUUAUUUCCUAAUUGAUAGAAAUCAAUAAUUUUCGGCCUUGUUUUCCUUGGUUUCUAUGUACAGCAACAAUGGAACGAGCUUUCUCAUGUAUGAGAAUUAUUGAAUCGACUUCGAAGCACCAUAUAUGUGAUGAAUCGAUUUCUGUUUCUUCCUAGUGCUUUCUUAUCUGUCUUUUAAUUGAUAUUAUGUUUUUGGUUGCUUGGUCAGGAUGAGCAAGAUGGGUGAUGUUGUGAGAGCUAUGUUACUAUUUCUUGCAAGUAUAAAUAGAUGUUGUUGCUCUUUGCAUAAUUGCAUGCAAUAUGGCGCAUUAUUAAUGGCGAGAAAAUGAGCAAGAAAAAGACAGGGAAGGACUUUUGAGUAGGCAAUCAACCAUUAUAUAUUAACCUAUGGGGCAGGUAUACACUUUGCCAAGUAUAUAUGUUGUAUACUAGAGGGAAGGUGAAUAUAGGAGGGUAGAUAAUAAACUGUUGUAGUACCCUAUAAUACAGAUAUAUAUAUAACUUACCAAAUAUAACUUACCUUUACCAAAGUGCUUUUGGAGGUGGUUAAUUAUUUUUGCAUACUUACUUAUAACAAAGUGCGAUUUCGGGUGCAAGUUGUUACCUUUUCAAUAGGUGAUAAACUAAUAUCGAACCUCUAGUCGAGGUAUCUUUUGUGUGAAAUUUUUUGUUUCAUCGAGUGGACCACGUCACUCAUUUGCACAUCAAAAUAAAGGAAUUCCGAGAAUUUGGGUGAAAUUAAGGAUUCUCCUUAUUUUUGUGUGGAUGGAUUCAUGACAUGGUCCACCCGUUAACCCAAAGAAUUGUGAACUUCUCCUCAUCUAGUGGAGGAAUUGUGAUUUUCAAAGGGAGAAUCAUCAUUCAGUAGGAAAAUUAUUCAAACUAAAAUCUUUGGUGGGUUUCCUACAGUGUCAUCCCCUUCUUUAGUGUAGCUAACUAGUGGGUUUGUCUAACCAAAGUCUUUUGGGAUACGGUUCUGGAAUAUCUACUUCUAAUAUAGUCUACGACGCAUUGUCUUGGACAAGUAGAGGGACCGAUGAAUUUACUUACAAAAUUUUCCAAUUACAGAGCCAUUUAUCUAUUCAAUGAGAGGAUGUUUUGCAUAGGAGUUCAAUCAACUUACAAUUACUUUAUUCGACCACAAAAUUUCACACCUAUAUUGAGCUCUCAGUAUCAAAAUUACUUGAAAGUACUUAACCAUACAAUAUUUGCAGCAGAAUAUAGCCUAAAAUACACUGCAAACUUUAACUUGAUCACCCAGUUCUAUUGCUUUGGACCUCACCGCUUAUGUUUCGUCAUUAUGAAAACAGCUACCAAGUUGAGUAGUUCAUAAUGAAGAUUUGGAAUUUCAAUUGUCAGUCGAACUACUCAAAACUGGAAUUCGACCUCAUUGUGUACUCUGCCACAAGCUGAGCAAAAGAUGACGACUUGUUCUCGAGCAAGGUUGCAGGAGAAUCAUAUUCGUCAAUAAGACCUACAACAAGAACAAAGAUACAAUUAAAAAUGAAUAAAAAGGUGAGGUUCAGUGGUAGCUAGAGGAAGUUGAAUGCAUUCAUAUGGCAAUACUAACCAUGACUCAGAAGCAGAACCAUGUCACUAUCAAGAACAGAAGUUAUACGAUGUGCAAUAGUGAUGACUGUACAGUCAGUAAAGUGUUGGCGAAGGGUCUGCUGGAUGAGAUUAUCUGUAGCUGUAUCGACCGACGCGGUAGCUUCGUCAAGCACCAAGACCUUACUUUUCUUGAGCAGCACACGGCCAAGGCAGACCAACUGCCUCUGACCCAUACUCCAGUUCUCUCCAUUCUCACUAACUGCAGCAACCAUAUGAAACAUAAACAAAAGAAUUUCCAUGACGUAAAAUGGAAUCUAGUGCAUCAUAUAUAGCCUGUAUCUUAGAGUAGCCAUAGAACAAACCUGUGGCAUCCAGCUUUCCGUCCUUUCUCCUAACUUCAUCUCCAAGUUGACACUUAUCCAGGGCCUGAAAAAAUCAAAAGAUGUUUUAACUAGUCCCACGAAUUUACCACUGCAAAUCUAUAAAUGAAGAACAUUUAGUAGGAAGAAGCUUCCUUUCAUCAGUGUAAAACCAACCAACCUCCCAAAUUUGCUCAUCUGUGUACUCUUCAAGUGGGUCCAGAUUGAUUCUUACAGUCCCUUCAAACAUGGUUGGGUCCUGAGGGAUAAUGCUCAGCCUAGACCUUAGAUCAUGCAGUCCAAUUGAAGAUAUAUCAAUACCAUCUAUCAAAAUCUGGCCAGAAGCAGGAUCCACAAUUCGGAAAAGGGCCUGUAUGAGAGUCGAUUUGCCACUGCCAGUUCUACCCACAAUCCCAGUUUUCAUUCCUCCAGGAAAGCUACAUGUGAUACCUCGCAACACAAGCGGCAUGUGUGGGGCAUAACGGACCUAUAUGAACAUGAAAUUCGAGUCACACAUGAAUGACCCCAUAUGUUAUGAAAUAAAUAAACCAGAACAGCAAGUACCUGAAGAUCAUGUAUGUCAACUUUUCCACGUAAUGGCCAAGAACGAUCUGGCUGAUUGGAUUCUAUUACAAGAGGAGGCUCACUGGGAAGGGUAGUGUACUGUAGUAAUCUCUCCACUGAUAUUAUUCUGUUCUCCACUCUGCAAAGAUUCCAUAUAAACCACGCUUGUAACAUGUUUAGAUUAAGUCCAUAUGUGACAGCUAAGCCCGCAACACCUUCAGAGUAAAAUACCAAAAACAAAUAAGAAAACAGAGAAUUCAAACCAUUUGCUUUCAAAAGAAUAAUUAGUAACACUAAAUGAAUACCACUUGCCUGGAUCAAUCACCCCCGCUGGAAUAGAGAUCAAGAAAACCAAACAGAACCCAAAAGUGAUAGAUGACAACAUAUCCAAGCGAAAACAUAGCCAUUCCAUUGCAGCCGCAGUAUGAAACUUAGGACGACCAUAACCAUCCAUCAGUUUCAUGUUUGUAUCCCUAAAUCUUGAUUCUUGAUCGAAGCCCCUAAUUGUUGUCGACCCUGAAAUUGUUUCGGCAAAAUGUUGUAUCACUGGAGCUUUGCAUACUCCAACCAACCGUGCUAGUUCUCGUGCUGAAGAUAUGUAGUAUUGCUGCAUGAAUAAAAAAAAAUUGAGCAUCUUUCUUCACAUUUAACAUAGUUCAUAUAGACUGCCGGCUAUAACAGGAGUUAGGUUUUUUAUAUAGAUUCAUAUUGUCAAUCAUUUUCCAUGUUGUGUCAAUUUAGAAGUUUCUAAGAACUGUAGCAGAAAAAGGUUGAAGAAAAUGUUAAUAUAUCAACUUAGUGAACUUUUGUGUGAAUAAGGAAGCCAAGUUCCUCACUUCCACAUCAAAUAGAAGGUAUCAGCUUGAAUAACGAGCAUCAACAGUUCGAUGAUCAACGAAGAAUUAACACUAAAGGGACAUUAAUAUUUCCAUAUAAGAUUUCAUGUGGAAAGUCGUGUAUUGGUACAACGUAUAAGAUAGAAGCAGUCGGACAAAGAUGUGUUACCUGCAACCAGAUACAGAUUGCAAUCACAGGGAUAAAAAUGAUGAAAAUCUGCCAUGCAACUUGCGACAUCACUGCAAUAAUUCCCAGAAGCUGGAUCAUUGAGUUGGCAAGGUUCCCAAUUUGACGUGGCAUGUUCAAGUCCACCUCAUUUUGGUCUGUUGAAGCCUGCAAGAAAUCAAUUAGCUACAUUGAUGAGAUUACUGCAUUCAGUACAGCAGCAGAGGGAGUGGUAGCUGUUUAAAGCAAAGAAGGAAAGUACACAAAACUCAUCUAAUUCUCUUUGAAUAUAGUUUGCGUACUCUGUUAAGGAUUCGUCCACUUGGAGUGGCAUCAAAAAAAGACAUGGGAGCACGGAAAAUGCAUAAAUGCAUUUUACUAAAGAGUAGAGUGGCUGUCUUGUACCCAGCUGUUGCAAGAAACAUGGAUCUGAAGAGGAUACAAAAAGAACUUCCAACGGCCAAAGCAACAUAAACAGUUAGAAGUGUAGAAGUUUCAACAGCAGGUUUCACAUCCUCUGAAACAGGAGUUGCCCAAGCCAUCCAGUAAUUGCUUCCAAUUUGAAGGACCUGAAAGAGAACCUGUGCAAGCAAGAUAAACGGAACAAGAGCACCUCCAUAUGCUGUGGUGAUAUACUUCCAGUAGACUGACAACCCAACUCUACCUUUCUCUCUCUCUUCUUCUUGAACAAGCUGCCCUUUUGGUAAAUCAUCUGUUUUAGAAUUUUGACCAUCAGUGUCCUCUACUUUUUGGACAACCCCACUAGUACUAGCAAACUCUCCAUCAUCUUUGCUAACGCUUAUUUUUUCAACUGGCUCCACCUCUGCAGAAUUAAGCACGGACAAAGCUUCCGCGUGUGCUCCCACGAGUUCCAUAAAAUCAGUUCCUGAAUUAAGAAUGUCAUUGAACUUUCCUGCUUGAGUAAUCCUUCCGUCUUUCAUGACCUAAUGACGAACAAUAAGUUUAAGCAGACAGAUACUAACUAGAUAAUAACACAUCUUAUAAAUUAAAAUUCUUAAAAAAGCUCUGGAUUUUUUUACCAAGAUGAGGUCAGCAGCAGGUAAGAACUCCACUUGAUGAGUAACAUAGAUCACUGUUUUUGAACCCGAGAGACCCAGCAAGCAUUCCUGUGGUGCAAUUAUCAAGCAAACAAAUUAAUAAUGAAGUGUCAGUUUUACGGAUGCAUAUGCCAAUAAUUCUAUGAUGUAAAUAAUUUUGGAUACUCAAUUUAAACUAGAUGUAAUCACACUACAAGAGGGAAAUGAAACACCUUAAAAAGGUGUGAUCCUGUAUGAGCAUCAACAGCGCUAAAAGGAUCAUCAAACAGAUAAAUAUCAGCGUCUUGAUACAGAGCACGUGCAAUUUGUAUUCUUUGCUUCUGCCCACCACUUAAAUUGAUUCCCCUCUCCCCUAUAAUUGUCUGAUCACCAAACGAUAGAAUUUCCAGGUCCUUCUUUAAUGAACAUGCUUCCAGCACCCUCUCAUAUCUUUCUCUGUCCAUCUCUUGACCAAACAAUAUGUUUUCCUCUAUCUUGCCACUCUGUAUCCAUGGUGACUGAGAAACAUAGGCCUUUGUCCCACACAUUUUAAGAGUCCCCGAUAUCUUUGGAACUUCUCCCAGAAUACAAGAAAGUAAGCUAGACUUGCCUGAGCCAACAGUACCACAAACAGCAACCCUCAUACCUUGGCUCACUUUGAAAUUUAGAUCCUUCAAUGUUGGACUAGGGGAUGAUAAAUCCCAAGAGAAAUUCCCAUCGACUAUCUCAAUUGCUGUAUCAGAACUACCUCUUGGAAGAUUCUCUAUAACGUCAGGCGGCAAGUCAUCAAGACUAAGGAAUGAUGCAAUUCUAUCAAGGGAUACCUUAGCUUGUGCUAUCAUUGAAAUUGUGUCUGGAAGACUGUAGAUAGGCUCUUGAAGAAUCCUGAAUGUUGCAAGUGCAGAUAAGAUCUUCCCCGACUCAAGUGGGAUCCCCAGUAGCAUGCAAGCAACGAAGGUGACCACUGACACAAAUGUGGGAGCACCCCAGAAAACAAAUGUGGUCAUGGCAGAUGUGUAAACAAACUUUCGUAACCAUCCUGCCUCAGUCUUCCUGAGCUCAUUAAUUUUAGACAAAAACUUCAUCUCCCAUGCUUGAAGCUUGAGAAUCCUCAUGUUCCUCAAGAUCUCAGAUGUUGCCUUCAUCCUUUUAUCUUUUGACUCCAUUAACUUUUCCUGAAACUUCUCCUGCAAGGACCCCAAAGGAACAUUUGCCCACAUAACAACUAUUGUCGCAACUAAAGUUGCAAUCGCUGCGAGACCAAGAUUUAUGUACAAAAUCACUAGGGCCAAGCCAACUUGUGGAAUGACCAUCCAUGGAUCAUGCAUGUUCAAAGUGAAGUCACCAACCCUCUCAGCAUCGACAGUCAUAAAAUUGAUAAUCUCACCGCUAGUGUGGGCCUGCUUGGACUGGCAUGACAGGGUCAAACCCUUAUUAUAGAUGGCUGUAACAAGUACCGCUCGGCUUCUUACUGCUGCCUGUUGUGCCUUAAAGAACCAGUGCCUUUGACAGAGGCACUCCACCAGCUUCGCUACCAUAAAUGCAGAAACCAAAGCAUAGCCUUCAUUUUUGAACUUUCUCCGCCCAUAGAGGUAUUGAACAAAUGUGUCGAUUAGAUAUGGACCGACAUAAGAUGCCAAUGUGUAAAACAUAGCAUACAACCCUGUCAAGCCAACCUCUUUCCAGGCUGAGAAUAUCAAUGCCUUCGCCAGAUGAAAUGUGGUAACUCUGCCAUCCGCACCACACUCCGCCUCCAGUUUAUUUCUAAAAUUUGGAAAGGACCCAGCUACACUAUCACCCUUGUAUAGUUCAGGAACAUCCUCAAGGUCUAAUGUCUUCUUAUUGCCAACCGCAAUUAGAGGACCCAUCCAAGAAAAAGUAAGGAUGCUGAAAAAUCCAGCAUUUGAAUAAGGGGUAACAGGUGUACCCCCUUUGGAACUAUUUGACUCUGCAUUACCAUUACCAUUCAAAAGGGGUUCCUCAAG